rnacentral:lncRNA from 1 species
GAGCAGUUAAAAGAUAGAACGGUCAAGUCAAGCGCCAUGUCUCUUGUUCUUUGAUUAACUAUAGCUCUAGAGUUUUUACAGAUUUUCAGAUAAAACUCAGAGAUUCCUUGUAUGACUCUCUCAGAUCUCUCUUUUGUGGUAUUUCUAGAUCCUUUCCAAGGCAGUAAUGGUAUAUGCCUUCUCUCAAGGUAUGUGGUAUUUUUGGUAUGAGGCAUAGUGAUAUUGCCUUCUCUCUCACACUACUCUUAUAAGGUUUUGAUAUCUGGAGCUCAUAGGUGGGAGACAGGUAAUACAUACUCACAAGACAUUUAUUGCAUAGUCAAACCAUGGAUCCAGAGAAACAAGUCAAUAAGUCAAAUCAAGAUGUGCAUGUGUGGCGAAAGAAUGGUGUAUGGUGAUGAUGGUAAUAACAAUGGUGAAAGUCUAAUUCUAUUUUCGCUCUUUUAAGGGGUUACGUACCUUUCUUGCACUUUGAAGAUUUUUGGGGAGAACGAGAUGCUCUAUAUUUUCUUUUUCUUUUCUCUUAGGUGGGUAUCUUGUACUUCUAAUUCUACUGUCGGACACUUGUCCAUUUUUACCUCUCGUCUCACUUUUUCUUUUGUUUCGAGGUUCUGGGCACUUGCUCCUUUUUAUUUCCUCGUAUCUUUUUUUUUCACUUUUUUUCUCCUAAAAUAAUAUAGCAAGUGGUAGUAACUAAGAUAACUCGAGCAUUUAUUUCACUGGGAAAAUCAGGAAUGAGAUAAUGUUUUUGGCUAUUCUCUCCCGGAUUAGGAGUAGAAUACUUUUCGGUGAAUCUAGAGAUGGAAAUGAGUGGAUGUAUGUGGAUGCGUACUUCCAGAGUAGAAGCAGCAUGUGUGAGUGAACGUACAAGUGAAUCUUGAUUUUAACCGCAUGACAAGCUCCUAAGGGUCUACACAGCUUGACCACACUCAAUGCUCAUAAGCAGUAAAAAAAUAAAUGUGUGGCUCAAAGUCUAGCAAGCAUGUAUAUAUGGCUGUGGUAGGAAUUUAAACUCUCAUCAUACAGGAACUCAUCAUGUAUUAUUUUAAAGAUUUUCAAAGAUAAAUUUCUCCAGAAUUCUAGCAUCUCUAGGAACAGAUAAACAGCAUCUCAACCUUCCCAUAUCAUAUCCGUUAACGACUUAGACUUCAGAUCAAGUACUCUUCCCACAAGUUCAGGUUUAGAGCAAAUCUUAAUUCAUAACAGUCAUGCCUAAACUUAAGAGAGAUUUCAAUUUUCAGAACUAGUCAUGGCAGAGCAACUAUUCAUCAUUUCCAUAUGAGAGCUUAUCAUAAGGGUUCAUAGCAAACUUUAUUUAUUUAUUUAUAUAGCAAACUAAGCAAAGAUAUAUAUAAAAGCACAAAAAUCUUUAUUUGGGUAUUUAUGAUUAUGCAUCUUUUUAUUAUUUGAGUAAAGUAUAAACGCUAGUAGAAACACUUAGCUGGAUAAAUAGGGGUGCUCUCCCCCAAGCUGGAUUUUGACAUAAUUUCUUCUGAUGUAGCUAGCAGGUAGCGGAGGUGUAUUUGAAUGUCGGCAGCACCUUGACAGCGAUUAGAAUAUCCUCCGUCUGCUAGUCUUCUUUGAUCCUUGAAUUCUGUGGAGCUCAAAUAGAUAACAAAGUUUUGUGGAACUGGUUAAGUGUUAGCAUAAAUAUCUAGCCUUUAUCAUAUUGAGCUUCCUCCUAAUAAAUAUUAUUUAUUUAGCAGGAUCAUGCACUUAUUUUUUUAUAUUUUUAUUGUAAUAUGAAAACAUAUUUAUUUUAUGCCACCACAGUGAAUGUACUUAUGGGUUUUAUGCCAUGAGCAUACUUCACAUGGGGCUUACUAUUUUUAACAUUUUUAUUUUCUUUUCGAGAUGAUAUGAACCUGAUUAACUAAGCAAACUAUUUUAAAUAAUUGUAGGGAAAAGGAUAACUACCAAGUUUACCUCUUAGCAAGGUGGUUGGUGUUUUUAAGUCCUCCGAACGGGACUCUCCGUUUUCUCAGUCGUCGUGUGAUUCGCUGGAUGGUGUAGUCGGUGGUUCGGGCAGCGCCUCCUCUUCGUGUAUAACUAUCUUCUCCCUCCACACCUGACUCGGUGCUACGGUCUCCUCAGGACAGUUCUGUUCAAGCUAUAUGUCUUCAGACCUUACCACUUCUCCUUCGUAGUCUACCCAUCCGUCCUUGAUGAUUUGCCACCUCUGGUUUCGGUUGCGUCGCCUUUUUUAGAGGGAAGUGUAUGUGGACUUCUCCGCUUCCAAUGUAGAUGAUGGCUUUGAUAGUGUUGAGGAACGGUCUUCCAAGGAUGGUGGGUGGAUCCUACUCGUCUUCUCUCAUGUCAAUGACCUAAAAAUCAUCUCGAGCUGAAUAUAUAUUGGUUGUGGGGGUAUGGUUCCAUGUAGGAGCUGAUAAGUGACUGCGGCAAUUAUGUUGUCGUCAGAUCCAGUGUCGUAGAGUGUCUUCUGAAAAGAGUAUCCAUUGAUUGUGGACUCGAUGCUAGGAACACCAGGGUCAUCCUUCUUGAUCAGGAAAGGUGACUUGAGUCAACGAUCUUGACCUCGUUGAGCUGCAGUGACCAUCUUAGCUGACUCGGUCCACAUUUGCUUGUUCUUGUUCCUCCUGUUGAUCCUCUUCCUUGGUUCAUGUCGGGAUUGCUCUGGAAUUUGUGUAGUUUUGUUCUUGAAGGAAAAACGUCUUCUUCUUCCCCUUGAUGUAGAAACUAAUCUUGGCAGUACUAACAUAGAUGACAACUCCCAAAGUGUUGAGGAAUGGCCUCCCUAGGAUGAUGGGUGCCCUCUCAUCAGUACCAGUCUCUAUCACCAUGAAGUCUUGAUUUUGUUGAGGAUGGUUGUAGUAGUAGUUGUUGUUGAUGAUGUAGUAUACGUCCUCAAGCAUCUUAGGGCAGUGAUUGCCUGAGUGUCUAAUAUCUCCAGUGUGUUUGUGCUCAUAGAUCCAGGUUCUUCACUUGGUGGAGUCUGGGAGUUGUAAAACUCUUUCAUGUUUUGCUUGAAGUGUACCUGUUCAUAGAGACAAGGCAGAGAUCAAGUGCAUGGGCUCUGUUGGUGGAAAACACCAACAGAACCAAAAGUGUAUUUGUUCUUCUCUAACCUUAAGCAUAGUGAGCAAGACAAAGUUGAUGGAUCAUGAGUGAAGUAUUUGAAACAUUUGUCAGAUCAGAUUGCUUGACCUAAUGGAAAAAUAAAUCUAUCUAGAUUUAUGUUUUGCUUAUAUCUUCCAAAGAUUGAAUGUGCAACAUUUUAGCUUAUAUGAUUAGGAGUGUGGGAUCACGAAGGUAGUACUAAGAACAAAGAUUAAAGGACUAAACAUGUUGAAUUAAUUGGGUUGGUUAAUUUGGAGCUACAAAUCAUACAUGUUUGUCUCUUUAUUUAUGUGAAUGCCAGAACCAAGGAGAAGCUUAUAAAAGUGAUAGUCAAGUACCUUAAGGUGUUACCUUACUUGAAGAGCGAUGGUAUAGUAUCACCUUGUGGAAGCUUUCCUUUCUUAGCGGUUGUGCAUCGUGUUUGUGGCACCCUCCAUGGAUCAUCUCUUUAUGAUGAAUGAGCUAUGUCCUUCUUGGGCAAAUUGUUAAACUUCAUGUAUCUCCUUUAUCUCAAAUGAGUUUGUAUUUCAGGACUUCCCAGGUUGAUAUUGAAUGUUUUCCUGCAGGGGUUAGUCCGACAAAAUAUCCCAUAUCUACUAUAGCAUACUAUCGCCUAAAAAUCAACCUAGACACCAUGUCUAAUUUGAUUUAGGAGGGCAUUUUUACCUAAGCACCAUGCUUAAUUUAAAAAUCCUUUGGAAGUAAGAUCAUCAUUCCUAAACUAAGCACCAUGCUUAAUUAAAGCAAAUAAAGGUAGCAUAUACUAAAGCAAAUAAAGGUAGCAUGAAAGCAUUUAUAGAGAUCUACUCAAGUGGAGAUGAAGUAGUGUGAUUAGUAUUUAACAAAUUGAGCAUGUCUCAAAGGUAGGGACAACCAACAUAGCAACAUGGCAAAGGAUGUUUUUAUGUAAAGUACUCCCCCAAGCUUGAAUUUUUCAAAAUUCAAGGUUGGAUGAAUUUAAUUUAAUGUUGCAUAAUGAUUGGUUGGGCAUACCUUGUGCUUGUCAUUCAUCCGAUCUUCUUGCUCCAAUCCUGGAAAGGUUAGUGACAAGAAUACCCGAAGGAAUAUUUCUACAAUUAUCCUUAUAUGCUCAAUACACAAGGCAAUGUUACAAAUAAUUAGAAGUUCAUGUCAUGAUCUGAUAAGUGCUUGUUUUAGGACACUAAGCUUGUCCUUAGGAAACCAUCAAUUUAUGUCGGCGAAGUGGUUUCCCCUCCGACGCUGACCUAUAUCAAGAUCAACUCAACGAGAUCUGCAAUAUUUAUUAUAGACAUAUACAUCAACAACCGCUCUUUUAAAGUUGUUAUAAAUAGAAAGGAAGAGAGGGUUGGAGAUCUCAAAUGUGGUAAAGUUGGAGAGACCAAUUGAUUGGGGAGAUGUUUUAUAUGAGCAAGGAUUUGGUGAGGUAUUUAUGAUAUAAUUUCCAUGCUCACUGUUGUUUCUCUCAUUCUCAAACUCUAAGGAUGAUUCUUCAUGAAUGCUUAAAAUUCCUCUAGGGUUGUCUCUCAAGUUUGUUUUAUCCAUCCAUUCAAUGGUGAUAGCACAUGGAUUGCUAAUGCCCUCUAGCCAUUGAUGUUGCUCUUCUCGAUCCUCUGUGCGGUCUUGGUGACUCUUAUGCAUGGGAUGUCUAGAGAGAUUCAUAGGAUCAUCGGGAGGUUCAAGAGAAAGAGCAUAGUAGAAAUUAUUAGGCUCAAGGAUGGGUUGGAUAGCCGAAUUAUGGGAUUGAAAUGUUUGGAAAUCGGCUAUUAAAACUUCCUUUCCUUGUCUGGGAGAUGAUUCCUUCUCUAUCUCUAGGAUAUUUUUAUGAAGACUAGUGCAAGAAGGAUGUCCACGAAUGAAAACAUAUCUUGCUUUACUAACAGAUAAAGAAAGAAAGACUCUACCAAAAGUUAUAUGAUUAAGACCAAUGUGAAAAUAUCAAGAAAAAACAUGGUCUUGUAGGGCUAGGUCUAAACCAGAAUUUAUAGAAAGAUUAAAAGAUUCCCUAGGUGUAGCUAAAAGUUCAUUAUCUUCUUGGUUAAAAGAUAGGACCUCAGCUAUAGAAAAGGGUUGGUUUUGACCUAUUGCAAUCAACUCCGGACACAGAUCAUAAUUAGGGGCAGGACUUGUUGACUCCCAUGGUCUAUGGCUGGUCUCCGAAGGUGCAAAAAAUUAAAUAAUAGGUAUGGCAUUUAAGUUAUCCAUAAAGAUAAAAAUAAAAAUAUAAAAGAAUAAAAGUAUAAAAGUAUAAUACAAGAUAAUAGCAAGAUUCAAAGUUAUCUCAGCAAACCGUCUUUCUCCCCGGCAACGGCGCCAGAAAUGCUUGUUGAUAUUUGGUAACGCAAUCAGGAAAUGAUCCACAAGCGCAUGGAUAUCGGUGAGCAUUUCACCCGGGAGGUUUUCCAGAGUAUCGUAUUUAUAUUUUUACCACUGGAAGAAAGGGUGCAUCUGACUAACCAAAUCUAUUGCUACUAUCCCUUUAGGCUACAAAGAAUGUUUCUCGAUGCGAGUGAUGUAUAGAGAAGACCGCAAUCGUAGUCUCGUUCUAACCUUAGUAAGGAUGAUCAACUAUUCUAUUGAGCUUACGGAAUCUAGACACCACCAAGGAUGUUCGACCCGCACCUAUAAACCUACCCGUCCUGCUAACGAGAUGUGGGCUGCAAAGGUAUCUCGGAAAUGUCACGUUCCUCGCUACUACCACGGCCUAGCUAGUCAGGGGAUAUCUAUGAGUACCCUAGCCUAAACACUACAUUUACGCUAGCAAUGAUUACUCUAAUACUCAACCGAAAGAGAUUAAAGUAAACUCAUAAACCAAAGAACAAUAAAACAAGAACUUACUAGAAUUAGAAGUCGAAUUACUGAAGAAUCCUAGGAGCAAGCCUCGGGAUAGAAGACUUGAUCCCGCUGGAACAACCUCGGAGUAGACACCGACAGGCCGGGCUUCCUCCGAUCUACACCUCCACUCUAUCUCUCUCAGUCUAGUAGAAACUAGAAGAUCUAAUUCUACUCACAUUGGAUGCUAAGCCUAAAAGAAAUUUUAUUUAGAGGAGAGGUAUUCCUUCGAGGGCUCCUCUCAACUCUACGAUGUACUUGUUCUCCUCCAGGGCCAGGGGGUCUGGUUUUAUAGUCCCCUCAAGUGAAUGUGAGCCGUUGGAUCAAACCGACAUUGAUUGGACGGUUAUCCUUGAUCCUUUAGGUCGGUGGAGAUUAGUCCCGAAAGAAAGUCCUGAUCCAACUCUGCAGGGGGCGGGCGCCCAGGUCAACUGGGCGGGAGCCCAGUGCCUGGCCCCGUUUCGCCUCCGCUUCCUUCCCGUGGCUUCUGGAGUCUUCUAGAUGUAAGAUAAUUGCACGGCACGUUAAUAUCUCUAUGUAAACCCGAUGUGUGGGCCUUUCUUCCGUAUUUCCUGAUAACCCCCUGCAGAAAUAGACAAACACCAAAACUCGUGGAAUUCUGUCAGAUAAAACCCUAAGUCUGGAUGUUGAUUUCAUUCGGAUUCUUUUCUUUAUUUAUUUUAUGAUUAUAUUUGGUACUUUAGGACCGUCAACAGUCAUUCCAGUUCACCAGGUCCUCCAGGCGCAUCCACAUCAUUAUCAUCGCCGAAGGGGUCAACUCCUCUAGGGGCAGAGCAUGGCGCCCUACCAUGCACAACCAAUGCUCGGGUUGCUUGAUGUCCUUCAUACGGUUCCACAUCCUAGAGAUUGGCACCGUCAUCCGGGUGUUGGCUAGGCUGGAACUCGAUGUUGUCAACACGACCGGUCAAGGGGAAAUCCAUGGCUUCAACAGGGCAGAAACAGAUGACGCUCUGGUACUCGUUCCCGAUCUAGAUCCAUACCUCAGUCGCUGCCACCUUUAGUGCAAACUCCUUCGUCGCCCUUGUGAUCAUACGUAGAGGCGGUCAAAGAAGGUCGGGCGAUGGCGGCACACGACAAUGGUGGCUUCGAGAUGGGAGGUGGCAAUCGCAACAACAUGUACGAACCCGGCUUCCACCCGGGUUUGAAUCUGGGUCGUGGCAGCCAUGGAGGAGGGCAGGGCUUUCCCCCUCGCAGGGGGUAGGGUCGCUUCCAUGGGUACAACAACUAUGGUGGUCGGGGCAAUGGUGCUCAGUUUCAUGGAGGUGGAAGAGGCUAUGGCGGCUGUGGUGGCAGUCGGAGGGGUUGUGGUGGUUGGCAGCAAGCCGGCUACGGACAUCCCACACCGCAGUACCACCAAGGAGGGCCUAUGGGGGGUCACCCUUAUCAGGCGCCUUCCAGCCAACAGUUUGGAGCACAAGGCGGAGCUGCCGUGAUGCACGGCUUCCCCGACUUUCAGGGUCAAGGAGGUGGCCUCCAAGGUGGGGGUGUGCUACAUGCUCACUAUGCCCACGCACAUAAUGUUGUUGUCCACCUUAUGCAGUAGCAGUUGACACAUGGAGGCGGUGGUGGUGCUGGACGCACAGUGCUACCUGCCCAGGCUCAGGGCGCGAGUGGCCAUCUGCUGCCCCUUCAGGCACCAACUCUCGGACAGCGCGCAGCGGGUGUUGCACCCCAGGCUGCCCCGGGUGGUGGGGGCAGUCCAGGCCGCAAUGGCGGCUGUUCAGCCAGCUCCUUCUCAACAUGAGGCUGGACAAGGUGGCGACGUGUCGACAGGCCAGGUGGUUCCUGCUCCUGCUAUGGAGGUGGACUCAGCAAAUGGUAAAGCUCUAGUUAAAUCCAAGGUGAUUGCCCCAUCCAUCACUGUUUUAGAUAUCCCAGAGUCAUCUAAUGGUGGUCACAAAAGUAAGGGCAAGACCCAUUGUUAUCUUGUCGCACUAAGGGUCAUACUAUUCAUGAGUACACUGUGGUUAUAUGCUGCGAAAUUUGUUUUGGUGAUCAUGUGACUAAACUUUGUCAGAAUAUGAAGAAAACAAGUGUUAAUGCAAUCCCUUGUGGCUAUGCGGUUGAGGGCUUAAGCUUCUAUUAUAUUCCAGUGGCUAAGAAAAAUAAUGUGAAUGUUGAGGGAAAAAUUGCUUUGGUGAGAGUUUUGGAAGGUUCCUUUAGUGUUGAUGAACUAGCAGUGGAACUAGAGAAACUACUACCAGUCCACAAGAAUCAUAUUUGGGAAAUUGAGUUAAAGGGUCCUGACUCUUUUACUAUUAAUUUUCCUGAAGCUAGCCUACUGGAUAAUAUGGUGAUCUUUGGAGCUAUGGAUGGUAAAGUGGUCAAAGGUAGAAUCUGCUUUGAAAAAGGAACUGAUCCUAAAGUGUACACUUAUGAAAUUAAUGAAGUGUGGGUACAAUUCAGGGGACUACAUAAAGAGUUUAAAACUUUCCCAAUUAUUUGGGCAGGGCGCGAGUGGCCAUCUGGUGCCCCUUCAGGCACCAACUCUCGGACAGCGGGCAGGGGGUGUUGCACCCCAUGCUGCCCCGGGUGGUGGGGACAUAGUGGGGGCUAUGAUCUGUUGAUUUUACAGACCCCUGUAUCUCUUAAAAGUUCGACACACCCUCAUCAUAAGAAAAAUAGUAGAAAUAAAAAUAAAAAUAAAAGUGGUUCAAAAUGAAAGACAUCUUUUAGAAUUGUAACGGGUUUGCAGAUAGUAAGAAAUACAGAUUUUUAUCAUACCUAACUAAGGAGAAAAACUUAGAUUUUAUUGCCUUAUCGGAAACUGGUAGAGCUAACUUUCCACAGAACACUCUGAACAUUAUUUGUGCGGGCAGAGAUUAUAUUUGGCAUUGUAUGGCUCCACGUGGUAGAUCGGUGGCAUGAUUCUAGGGGUUCAUCUGUCAAUGUUUGACAUUGGGGAAAUUGAGGAAGGAGAUUUCUUUAUUCAUUUUAAGCUAAGACACCGUGAAGAUGAUUUUAAAUUUAAUUUAAUUUCUGUUUAUAGGCCGGCUCAGGCUGAACACAAGUCUUCCUUUUUAUCAGAGAUGGUUCGGGUAUGUUCAAAAGGAACCGUACCUAUUAUUAUAGGUGGUGAUUUUAACAUCAUCCGUAAACCAAAUGAGAAAAACAAUGAUAAUUACAGUGACAGAUGGCCUUUCUUUUUCAAUGCGGUUAUUGACGCGUUAAAUCUGAGAGUUAGACUUGUUGGGUAGGAAAUUUACCUGGGCUAACAAUUUGCCAAACCAAACGUUCGAGAAUCUAGAUAGGGUUUUAUGUUGCAUAGAUUUUGAGUCUAAAUAAUACCCAUUCCACAGUCUAUGCUCUACCUAGAGAAAUCUCUGACCAUACCCCUCUACUUUUCUCUACUAAUGAUCCAUCCACAACUUAUCGGCCACAAUUCAAGUUUGAAUUGGGCUAGUUGUUGAGAGAGGGAUUUGUUGAGAUGGUGACCGAUAUAUGGUAUAAUACCAUAGCAACCGGGGCACCUAUUGAGAGGCAGCAGUAUAAAAUUAGGAGGCUGCGGCAACAUUUGAGAGGGUGGGCCAAAAAUGUAAGUGGUGCCUAUAAAAAAGAAAAAAAUCACAUUGCUCAAUAGACUAGACGACUUAGAUAAAAAGGCAGAAACUGGUGUCCUGAGUAAAGCUGAGCGGGAUCUAAAACACUUCCUAAAUGAAAGAUUGGCUGAGUUACAUAGAGAAGAGGAGCUUAAAUGGUACCAAAGGGCUAAGGUGAAGCAUUUAUUUGAAGGUGACGCCAAUACAAAAUACUAUCACUUAUUAGCCAAUGGUAGACAUAGGAAUUCUCGUAUUUUCCAACUAGAGGACGGUAAUGGGAUAAUAACUGGUGAUGCUCACCUUAAAGAGCAUAUUACUAGAUUUUACAAAAACAUGUUCGGUCCAUCUGAGGAGUCUACAGUUGUACUGGAUGAAUCUCAGACGGAGGACAUUCCUCAAGUUUUGGAGUUGGAGAAUGAGUUUUUAGUUGCACCCUUUUCUCAAGAGGAAGUCAGAGAAGCCAUUUUCCAAAUGAAUCACAAUAAAGCACCCUGAGUUUUAUCAGGUCUUUUAGGGUGUGAUUAAGGAUGAGUUGAUGUCGAUGUUCACUGAUUUUCAUCAGGGGGCGCUACCUCUAAAUCGUCUUAACUUUGGUAACAUAAUAUUGGUGCCCAAAAAGAAAGAUGCAACAUUCAUUCAACAAUAUAGACCUAUCUAUUUGUUGAAUGUCUCUUUCAAAAUCUUUACUGAAGUGGUAACUAAUAGAUUGACUACCUUAGCCCAAAAACUAAUAAGACCGACUCAAACUGCAUUUUUACCGGGUAGAAAUAUAAUGGAGGGAGCAGUCAUUUUACAUGAAACUAUUCACAAGCUUCAUACAAAAAAACAAAGUGGGGUAAUUUUCAAAAUUGAUUUUGAGAAAGCUUAUGAUAAAGUAAAGUGGGGUUUUCUCCAGCAAACUUUACGUAUGAAAGGGUUCUCACAAAACUAGUGUGAAUGGAUACAACACUUUAUAGAAGGUGCAGUGUUAAUAUCAAAGUAAAUGAUCAGUUAGGAUCAUUUUUCUAGACUAAGAAAGGAUUAAGGCAAGGUGACCCUAUGUCUCCUAUUUUGUUUAAUAUAGUAGUAGAUAUGUUGGCCAUUUUAAUCGCACGCGCCAAGGAAGCAGGACAAGUAGCGGAGGUAGUUCUCCAUCUGAUAGACAAUGGCCUAUCAAUUCUCCAGUACACGGAUGACACAGUGAUCUUUAUGAGCCAUGAUGUUGACAAUGCAGUUAAUAUGAAAUACUGCUAAGCACUUUUGAGCAAUUAUCUGGCUUAAAAAUAAAUUUCCACAAGAGCAAGGUCUUUUGUUUUGGACAAGCUAAAGAUCAUGAAGAGAUUUAUUCGCAGUUGUUUGGUUGUUCCAUUGGUAAAUUACCGUUCCGUUAUUUGGGUCUACCUAUGCAUUUUCAUAAAUUAUACAAUAAAGAUUGGAAAAUUAUUGAAGAAAGAAUAGAAAAAGACUUAGCGGGUGGAAAGGCAAAAUUCUAACUGCUGGCGGAAUGUUGGUCCUCAUAAACUCGGUGCUUUCUAGCUUACUGAUGUUCAUGAUGUCCUUCUUUGAAUUGCCAAAGGGAGUUUUGGAAAAAAUAAAUUGUUUCAAAUCAUGGUUUUAAUGGCAAAAUGACAGCAUAAAAAGAAAUAUAGGCUUGUAAGAUGGGAAGUUAUGUGUCAACCUAAGGACCAAGGGGGUCUAGGGAUCCAAAAUUUAGAGUUAGAAAAUAAAUGUUUAUUAAUUAAGUAGCUUUUUAAACUACUCAAUGAGAAUGGACUGUGUGAAGGGUCGAGAUGGCGGACUAGAGGGGGGUGAAUAGUCCUUUCUAAAACUUAUUAUGCUGGCUAACCGAAAUAAAUGCGGAAUUAAAACUAUCGGUCUAGCCAAGACUACACCCCUCUAUCUAAAUUCUCUAGCACCUUGUAAAAGAUCCUAAACAAGCAAACAAGGUGCUACCUUAGCAAGAGCUCACCUAAUCAAUUAUAGGAGCAAGGUCACACAAACCAAUGCCACUAGUACUUUGCAAAACGGGGAGCUCCUACACAAUUAGUAAGCAAAAUCACAAAGCUCGUAAGCUCACUAGCAAUACUCAAUAACAAGGCAACCAAUACCAAAGUAGAGAGCGUAAAUUACUUAGCUACACAAACUAAGCAAUGUGACUAACAAGGUUACACAAACCAAAUUACUCACCCAAGGGGAUCUACGUCUAGCUACACAAGCAAGAAGAUAACUGGUAAGCUACACAAGCUAAACUAGUUACAAGAGCAACUACACAAGCACAAAUAUAUGAAUGUAAAUACAAGCUUGUGUUAGGGACUUGCAAACCAAUAGGAAGAACAAUGUUGACACGAUGAUUUUCUUCCGAGGUUCACUUGGUUGCCACCAAGCUACGUCCCCAUUGAGACAAGCUCCAAGGUUGCCGCCGGUCCUCUUGCUAGUGGUGACCCGCAAGUCCCACUCUCCCACAUGGAGUGCUUACCACAAGCUCUAGCACUUGACCCAGCCAGACCACUUGUCACUCCUCACGUCUCGCUCUACUAGAGUUGCUCUUCACGAUCCCCAUGGGGUGAGCACCGUACCCCUCACAAAUCCUCCUCCGAAGCGCCGCACAAUUUUCUUGCGUGCUUCAAACAGAGUCACAAUCCACCAAACCGUCUAGGUGAUGGCAAUCACCAAGAGUAACAAGAAAUCCUCAAUCACAAAGAUUUCCUAGUGUCACCAAAUGCAAAUCCCAAAUGCACACACUAGGCUCUCACUCCCUCACUCAAAAAAUAGCACCAAGCAUGAGAGGGAGAGGAAGGGGAAAUGGUGGAUCUUCAACCUCUCAUCCACACCCACAAAGGGCUCUCAAUCUCUCUUAGAAAUUUCAGCUCAAAUCCAUGGGAGAGAGAGAGGAGUGGAGGAACCCUAAAUUGCUUGCUCUCAAAAAAUGUGAGAGAUAGGGAAAGAAGUUCUUCUAUUCUGGUUCAAGAGAGGGCAACUGGAGGGGCGCGUGCAGCUAAAAAGGCCACAUGCGGUUUCUGUCCAUUGGAGAGAAAAGCGGAUCUCAGUUGUAUAAGAAUUUCUUAUACAAAAACGAGAAUUGAUUUGGUGGGUUUGGUUGCAUGCGCAGCACGGUGCGGAACACACAAAAAACAGCCAUAUAAGAAUUUCUCAUUCACAAGAGAGAAUUGCCGAGAAGGGGUCUCUGUCUAGACAAAAUAGAUAUGAGAAUUUCUGGUUCACAAGGGAGAAUUGCCGAGAAGGGGUCUCUGUCUAGACAAAAUAGAUAUGAGAAAUUCUCGUUCACAAGAGAGAGUUGCCGACAUGGGGUCUCUGUCUAGACAAAAUAGAUAUGAGAAUUUCUCAUACAGAAAUAAGAAAUGCGAGGAUAAUCAAUUUGAGUGCCUCUUCAAGUAUCGAACUUCACCAAAAUAUUCCAAAAUAAAUUGGACACUUAAGUUAGCUUUUCAUAGAUAUUUUUCACAACUUUCUUAGGCAUCACACCACGUCACUAAGCGCUAGGUAUAUGCAAAUGAGACUCACACUUAGUGGCACUAGAUAACCAUUACAAUUAAAUAUUUCCCCUCUUUAUAGCGUUAUCUAUCCUAAAUCCGGUGAAGCACUUCUCUACUCAACUUAGACCGGUGAAAUGAAAUGCCCUAUAGGUUAUACAUUUGCCUUGUGCAUUCCAUCCCAUUUCCUUCGAUGUUGAUGCAACACAUGCACCAAUCAAUCACAAAUGAUAUGAUCCACUUCAUAUCAUCACAUGAACAUAUUGGUUCAUCGAUCUUGACCUCACCUGCUCUUCAACGUUGUGUCGGUCCAUCGGUGCUAAGCCUUGCUCAAGCUUCACCGUCACAUGCGGUCCCUCACUUCAAAGCCUUUGACGUGCCCUUCACUCUUGCAACCGGUUCAUCAAGCCAAGCCUCAUCUAGAUCUUCUCCACCUUGGUGACAUGACUCCAUGUCAUGUCUCAUAUGCAAUGAGCUCCUCCAUCAUCACAUAUUCACCUAUAGACUAAUCUCCUAUGUAUCUCAUAUAAACAUCAUUAGUCCACCUAAGUUGUCACUCAGUUACCAAAACCAAACAAGGACCUUUCAAUCUCCCCCUUUUUGGUAAUUGAUGACAACUAUACAAAGAUAUGGAAAUUAAGCUUUUCAAGCUAGCACUUCACACAUGUGUAAAUUGCUAACUUAGUUUGGAUUUUAUGCUACUUAUCCAACAUUUAAGCUUUAUGUAAAGUUUUGGAUAAGCACCAUAAAACCCAUCUAAGUGCUAAGGUGUAUAAAAUAAACCUUUGUAGCUUGAUACCACUUUUCAUAUCAUUUGAUGUAGCCAUUGUACACCAUCCUUAGCACCAUGAGUAGCUAGACAACAAAAUCACUAGAAACCCCGUGAGAUCAACAUUAUAAGCAAGGGUCUAGUUUUUACUUGAUAAAUACAAGUCUAGCUACCAAGCUAUGUAUGCUAGUUAUCAUAUCAUCAUUCAAGUUCUAUAACUAGCAUACACCACACAAGCAUACUUAUUGAAUUUAAAACUUUUGCAAUGCAAGCAAGCACAUGAAUAUGCACAAAAUAAAUGCAAACAAUCAAUGUUCAUGAGCUUGCUCCCCCUACUUGUGUGCUUCUCUUGUCCAAGAAUUUUAAUCCAUCUUUUUUCUUUAAUGUUGCUCCCUCUUUAUCCAUGUCCAUGUCCCAACCAAUUUCUCAUCUUUUGUUGUCCAACUUCUCUCAUAAUCAUAUCUUUGUUCCAACUUCUCCCCCUUUGUCAUCAAUUUCCAUAAAAGGUGUGAUACCAAUUAAAUCCAUUGAAACCAAUUGAAAGAGUAUGCAUCUCAUUGUGACAAAGGAUUGCAUUAGGGUAGAUGGUUGAAGCUUGAAUCUAGCAUUUUUUAUGGACGUCACCAUAUGUGUUGGAAUGACAUUACUUGAAUUGCUCUUGAGAUACCACAUAGGAUCUUUGACCUUCAUACCAUUUGGUGGGGCACCUCCCCCUAUGUCAUAGCAUGCGUCAUUCACUUGACAAUCUUGUUGGUGAGGAAACUUUCUUUGCUUGAUGAUCACUUAUAGUUGAGGAUCACUUGUGGAACCACCUCCUUGUAUAAUAGAUACCAAAUGUAGAGAUGUGAUAUCAUUGAAAGAUCUUGUCUGAUACCAUAUGGAAAUCUUCUACCAAUUGAAGGUCUUCUAGUAUGGAACCACUUGUUUGCUUUCUUGAACAUUUGCUAUCAUGAGUACCAAUUGCAAGAUACCAAUUGAAGAAGCAUUUAGAUCUAGAUAUCCAUUUGCAUAGUUGUCUUGCUCUUGUACUCUAAUCAUCAUGAGCUUCUAAUUGUUGACUUGAUCUAUAUUAUUUUGCCUAAGCUUCCAAGUCCGGUUUGAACCAAUGACAAGCUUUUUUACACCUCACAAUAAGGGUUAUCUUGCCAAUGUUGUACUUGUUACUUGUUGACAAUCCAAAAUAGAUCAAGUACUUUGGCUCACUAGCUCAUGGAAAAACUCAUAUACAUCCCACUAGAUCAGUUAAUCAUUCAAGCAAUAGUGGUGGGCUAUGAAUUUAAAACUUUUCAUUUGUUAUGCAUGAUCCUAUUGAGCAUGUACUAUAUGCACUAACCGCAUACUAGUAAGGGAUGAAAUGAUCAUGCACAAUACAAUGAUACAUUUGCUAUCUUGGAGUAGAGGAUAGUCAAUGAGAUUCCAAUUUAGCUCCAAAUAGCAAUGUGAAGUCCAAUUUAUAAGCUUGGUGAAGUCCAAUCAUAGAUACCAAUUGAUAGAUCAUAUCUUCACCCAUAUGAAUUGAGAACCACUUAUGAUCAAGUGCACUAUCUUUUGUUGUGGUUGGCUUGCUUCACCUUUUCUUGAUCUUUGCUUGCAUGAGAGAACUACAAUGAAUAUCACUUGAAAUAGCAUGACUAGCUCUCUUUUGGGUGUUGCUUACUAUCUUGAUCAAUCCUUUUGAUUGCUUCAACUAAGCAUCCCAAAUGUCCUUUAGAUCACCACUUCCAUGUUAGCCUUCCAAGCACCACACUUGGUUUACCCACUGUUGGGCGGCACACCCAUCACAUAGGGAGAAGUGACCUCUCUCUAAUGAACCAUUCUUGACACUCACUUGAAUUGCUUUGAUUUGAUUUAUUCAAGUGAUGGACUUAAUGUGAUGAGUAACCAUGAAUCCUUAUUUAAGUCCUUUUCUUUCUACAAAAUGAUCUUCAAUAGUCACUAGAACUUAAACUUCAUAUUCAUCUUGAGUUUGAUCUUGAUCUUCAAUUUGAGUACUAAAUUUGUACACCAAGUACACUCCACAAUCAAAUAGCCUUGUACUCUUUGCUUGUCAUGCUUCUUGAUCAAUUCAAAUCCAAACUUAGGUGCCUCAAACACUAAUAAUUAUGUCUCCAACUUGAGGACCUUUCAAUUGAAGUGACACUAGAUCAAUCUAAUAUUUGUCACUUUUCAGGCAGAUUCUGUAUCUUUAAAAGAAUAACUCAUAUCUCACAAUGUACAAAUCCAUAUGCCACGAAAUUUGGUGGAGAUGUGAUUCACUAAGUCGUCUAGCAACAGUAAAAAAUUGAGCUUCACUAGGAGUAAAGGACAGCCAUGCAACUUCAAUUGUUGUUGCCCAUGCCAAUGCCUUAUCCUCAUGCAAAAAUAUGUGCACCUAUUAAUUCUUCUCUUAAUUGCCUAGACACAUGUGGCUCCCUUACAUCAUUAGUUUCUCUCUUGCUCUUCAAAUGCAUGAAGAAAAUAGUCAUGAUCCUCCCUUUACCUCACAUGAUCAGAACACUCUCUCAUUCCUCUUGCCCAACCUCCCUUCACUCAUGCAAAUAUAAUAUGCCUAAAUGCUUAUUAUUUCCUCCAUAAUCCUCUCCAUUAAUGGUUUGAGAAAUGAGCAAUAAACUGCUCCAUUCUUUUUUUUUUCGAAAACGCAGGAGAGCUGCGCUUCAUUAUAUUAAGAAGAUAAUAAAAAGGGUAAGAACCCAUACAACUCAACACACACAACACAAAACACACUCUGCAGCAGGAGUUGUUGCUGCUGCUGCAGCUGCAAGAAAACUAACGCACCCGUGCCAGUAGAGACACUACCGCAAAAUACAGGGCGUUAACCCGCCGGAGCGAGGGCAUCCAAGAGGGAUAAUCCUCGAGCCCCCGCCAAAGACCACGACCUUCUGUCAUCUUCCGCUACAGCAAGAGCCCCUGUAACAUUUGGGGCUGCACCAUCAAAAACACAUCUGUUACGGUGUGUCCAUAAGGUCCAAGCACCCAGGAUUAUGAGAGAGUUGAUUCCUUUCUUUACCAAGUCACUAACAGCCUUGCUCACUCUCUCCCACCAUGAAUGAAAGGAUGUUUCUGUGGACUGCGGAUAAAAGCCUUGGAGUCCAAACCGAGUAAAGAAGCGGAACCAAAAUUCUCUUGCAAAGACACACUGGACUAAGAGGUGAUCAAUAGUUUCUGCAUCCUGAUCGCACAGCGGGCAUUGCUCAGGAUGAGGGAGUCCACGACGUGCAAGGCGAUCUGCUGUCCAACAUCGAUUGUGAGUCACCAACCAAACGAAAAAGCGACAUUUUGGCGGUGCCCAAGUCUUCCAAAUCCUUUCAUAAGGCUCAAAAGAUGUUGACCCCACAAAAAAUCCCUUGUAUGCAGUCUUGGCCGAGUAUUGACCGUCUAAGGAGAACCGCCAAAUAUGACUAUCUUCAACAUCUGGCUGCAAAGAGAAAUCUGAUAAGAUAUCCCAUAUGAGUAAGUAAUCAACCAUUACACCAACAGUGUGAGCUCCUUUUAUAUCCGCAUCUCUCGCUUCGGUUUUUACAUUCAUACAUGCAAUAGAGAUGUAUCCACAUCUUCUCUCUUCCCUCCUUCCAUCAUGCACAACAAAUGAACAUCAACUCCCUUGUCGCCAUCCGCUCCUCUUGCAUGGCGCCUAUCCCCUUCUCCUCAUUUCCACUUGAUAAAAAAAUAAUAAUAGCAGCAGUUAUUCCCUCCGUAACCCUUUGGUCACACCUCUCUUAAUCCACUCUUAAUGCCAUCCUUUCACUCCCCCAGUUUUCUCCAUCUCGUGAAAUACAGCAGCAGCCCCACUAUUCUCCAUACCGACAACCUUAUCCCUCUCUCAUGCAAAAAUACAUAAUACUCCUCCUUAAUCACAUACUUCACUUGUCUCCUCUUCAUUUGCAUGCACAAAACAGCAGCACAUCUCUUCCUUGUGGCGCAUCCUGCUCAUUCCUCUCAUCCAAGAACAGGAGCAUCAAAUACCUCCUCUCUUAAUUCCCAUUUUACUCCAUCGUUUCCUCAAAUCAUGAAUUGCAAGCAUGCCGAAAUUAAACCAGCAGCCUCCCUCUUAACCUAUGCUGCAUCGUCCCACUCUCCUCUCAUGCAAAAAAUAUGGUAACACCUCUAUUUACUCCUCUCUUGACAACACUCCUUUUCAACACAUACAAAAAAACAGUCCCCUCUCUCUUUCUCAUGUACCACUUUUCCCAAUUUUUCCAUGCCGACAACCUCACCUCUCCCUCAUGUAAAACUAAAAACUGCACAUAAUGCCUAUCUCUUUAUCCAUUGGACCCAUCUGUUCUACUUGUUCCUCCUUAACCUCCAUUAAGCCCUUCAUCAAUCGCACCUUACUUCCUCAUGUGCUGAGGAAAAACAGAGGUCAACCCCUCCCUCCUUGCUUUCUUUUUAUUUACAUGCACACACUGUAGCAGCACCUCUUUUCUCCUAUGCAGCAUUCCCUUUCCUCUCAUGCAAAGCAAAAACAAUCUGUUUCUUUCUUCUUUAUUUCCCAUGGUAAUACUUCUCUUUUUUCAUCUCUUUUUUUGAGGGAAACAGGAGGGGCUUCGCCCCUACUGGGAUUUUAUUAACACUUUUUUUUAAAAAAGAGAAGCGCCGAGUACAAACAUUAAGGUACAAAAAAGGAAACGAAAAAAAUAAAUACGAUUACACAAAAUUGUCAAGCCAUAGAUCUAUUGAGGGGUGAUAUCUUGCUUUUGCUCUUAGAAUAACUAGAGCAAACUCCUUCUGAAAGACUGCUUUGCAUCUUCGAAUUGUAUGCGCCAUAUUUCUGAAGAUAAUGUCAUUUCUCAUCAUCCAGAUGGACCAACACAUAGUAAUGAUGAUCUCCAUAAAAAAAGGAACUCCCAGCUGAGUCCUAAGACUUUCCAAUAUGGUUGCGAUGUCAUCCGAGUUUGGUAUGAAUACUUGUAAACUGUACCAACAGGCCAUUGCAAAGGGGCAGUGAAAGAGUAGAUGCAGUAGAUCUUCUAGGUUGAGAGAACAGCAGACGCAAUUAUAAUCUUGAAGAAACAUCCCUUUCCUUCUAAGAAGUGUUCAAGUGCUUAAUUUGUCACAUAGGAUUAACCAAAAGAAAAUUUUCCUUUUGUUCUGACAGCAAGAGGUCCAAAGCCAUCUGAAAGAAGAAUGAACCUGACUAUGUCCAACCAUAUGUUUGUACACCUGCUUGGAAGAAAAGUGAGUAGAACCCAAAUAGUAGGACCAAACAUCAUUAUCCUGACUGAGUUGCAAGGUCUGCAUAGCAGUAGAAAUGUUUUGAAAUUGCUGAAAAGCCUCUACCGAAAGAGGACGAUGGAAAAGGUCCUCAAGAGGGAUGGAAGAGACAGUAGUGCUUAGAGUGACCUGUUGAGAUUUAGCAUAAGAAAAGAGCUCAGGAUACCAUUGAUUGAACUGAAUACCAUUCCAAUUGUCAAGCCACAUGAAGCAAGUAGAACCAUUCUGAUUAUGAAUCAAAGCCAUCUCAUUGUAGGAAUGCAGCAGUUUCAAAAUGUCCCUCCACCAGAAGGAGCCUCUAAAAUGUCUAUGCAGAGAAGGCAAAUUAUUCCUGGAGUAAUAGUGUUCCCAGACCAAAUGAACCCAAGGGAUAGCCAGCUUAUUGAAGAAUUUAUGCAAAAACUUCAUGAGUAAACUCUCAUUGUGAAUGUCACACCCAAUUUUAAGGAUAAAAUUGAAUGCAAAACCUUGUGUGUGCCCAGAGAUCAAUCACACAUAAGCCGACAAAUUAUAGGGAGUAUCAUCACAAGUGUUUAUUACAUAACGAUAUAACUCAGAGUCUUUACACAAAUAUAGCGGAAAUAAAAGAUAACUCUAGCAUGGAAGCUCCAUCACACAGGCACGUCAACUGGUUGACCACAAGUCUAGAAGUCCUCAGGAAAGUACUGGUAGUAGUCAUUGCCCAUGCCAUCUGUUACCCAUCCGGGAUUUUUAUCCAAAUAAAGAAAAUAAACAAGUGUAAGUACACCUCGUACUUAACAAGUAUAACAGGGGGUUCAUGAGGCUCAAAGGCUAGACACUGGUUUAUCUGCAUGUAGCUUUUAGUUGUCACAAUUUUAGCAUAUGAGUAGCAUCAAGUUGUUAAGACCCAUAAUAAACUCAUGAUCAGGUAAAGUGAAUAAAGAAUAGCAUAAACAACAUAUUAACAAUAAUACCAUUAAUGAAUUGCCAUUAGUGUUCAUUUAUUCUGUACUGGUCCAAGGCCGCUCGUGACCGUGAGCACGGCUGAUAUAUCAGUUUUACACUCUGCAGAGGUUGUACACUUUCACUGUGAGUCCUGAUUUACCCUUUCGCCCGAGGUGAUCAGCCCCUUAGCCCACUCCCAAGGAAGACCGGCAGGGUUCACUAUGAAGCCUUUCAAAGGUUCGUCUAACAAGUUAGGGCCGCUAGGUUUCGUUAGUCAGUCCGUGUGACUCACCCGCAGGAAUCCACGGUCUGCUAUCCCCCACUUGCGCCACAAGGGUAACCACUAACAAGCUAGAAAAGGUCCUCAUACUGAGCUAAAGCCAGAGCCAUAUAGCCCUCACAGUUGUACUGUAAGUCCCGGAUGGUCAGAUACAGAUAAGUCCUUAUGGAGAGAAACUAGAGCACCAUAUAAUAGCCCAAUGCUCCAGCCCUCUUAUCCAAGGUUGCUAAAAAGUCAUCUUUUAAUGUUUAUUGCAUAAUUCUUUAGUCAAGUUACAAGAUCAUGGUUUAGUGGAGCACUAGCAUAAGCUACCCAAUGCAAAACCAUAGGUGACAAGGUAUAAGAUCAAUACUAGGAAAUCCUUAUCAAGGAGACACAUGUAGUAUGAAUUGUGUGCUUAAAGUUAUUAGGAAACAAGGAUGAUCCCAUGCUAUACUUGCCUUGAUCACACUGGUCCUGAGGAUCCUGCUCGUAGAAGUACUCUUGUUCACCCACGAACUGCUCACCGUCUAUUCGUAAUCAACAGCAAUCAUCCAAAGGCAAUCAUACAAAGCAAACAAGCCUAUUAUUAGAACAGUACACCAACAGUAACAAAUAAAGAUAAAAAGUUUAUAAAACGAAUCUACAUCGCUCUACGAUCACACAGACGUAAAGAUCACGAAAAUCGGAGUUAUAACGAAGAAGUUAUGAUUUUCCGAAGAUUUCCUUUAAAUAAAUAAUAGAUUAAAUCUAAACUCAGAUUUAAAAAGUUGAAAACUUGUACUACAGCAGCAUUAGACUAUAGAUUACACGAAAACAAAUCUAACGCAACUUGAACGUAUUAAAUCGGAGUUAAAACGAAGUUUUUAUGAGCAAAAUAGAUACGAUGGCAAAACUGUAAAUCUGAGAAACUUCUUUUGAACUGCACGGCUGAAAUACGUUUUCCAACUUGGAAAGCGUAAACGGUGAAAGCGUAAAGGACCGCGGGUUACAUCUUUAAAAACCUCGGGGGGUUUUCUGCAAAUUUGGCGGCCGAAGGGGUAUCCUUCGUUUCUGGCCGUUGGAUCUCAAAUCGAGCGCUGAGAUUAGAUCGCAAGGGGGGGAAGAAAUCGGCCGGCCGGAGCAGAGGUCGACCGCGGCGGUGCCAUGGCCGGAUUUGGCGGGCGCCCACGGUUUUCGCGAUGUAGAGCACAAGGGGACAAACCAAGGGCACAGGGGCGUAGUGGAGCUCGCUGCGAACUCACCUAAAGCAAAUAUGACGUCGGGGAGAGACUCGGGUGCACCUGCGACGGAGGAAGGCGGACGGCGACCCUGGAAAGCACACCGGCGAGCGUUAGCAAGGGAUAGAAAGCAGUAGAGCGUGAAGGGAGAGUCUCUGCGACUUCGCACGACGAAAACGAAGCCCGGCACAUCGCUCGCGGAGGCUCGAAGGCGCUGCGAAGGCGGAUUGGGGAUGCGGCGGAUCUCGGCGGCGGCUUAGGGCGUGUUUGACGCGACGACUGCAGCUCGGGAUAGCUUGGGGGGUUGCGGGGCUUCGGGUCGGUAUUUAAAGGAUGGAAACCGGGCGAAAUCGGGACUCCUCGCGCGAAUCGCGCGCACGGUUGCAGUGCGGCUCGUGUCCGACCCGGACUCGAGGUGGAAGACGAGCCUGACAGGGCGGUCCCACCUGGCAGUGGCGCUGGAGCGCGGGACCCGGCCGUCAGCUGCUGAGGCAAGAUGGGGGAGGCGCGGGCGCUGGUUGUCCCUCUGGGCCGCGAGGUGGGCCGUGCGGACGCUGGCUGGGCCGGAGCAGAGAGAAGAAGGGGAAGAGGAAAUGCGGGCCGCGGGGGGGGGGGAAGAAGGGGUUGGGCCAAGCCCGAGACAGGGGGAAAAUAAAGAGAAACCUUUUCCAUUUUCUAAAUUAAGUCUUGCUCAAAUCUUUUGAAAAGUAUUUCCAAAACCAAUUCGAAAGGAAGGAACUUCACUCAACAAAAUAUAUGCAGCAUCAUGAAUGCACAUACAUGUGUCUAGACCUUAUAUUGGAUUUUAUUUCAACCAAAAAUUAUUUUAUUACUAUUUCUCAGUGCUCACAUUAAAUAAAUAAAUCAAUUAGCCUAUUUGGAAAAGUGAAAUUUUUAGGGUGUUACAAUUCUACCCCCCUUAAGAUGAAUCUCGUCCUCGAGAUUCGGUUGGUGCUUACUCAAACAACUGAGGAUAUGAUUUUCUUAAAUCUUCUUCUCUUUCCCACGUAGCCUCUUCCUCGGUAUACCUAUUCCACUGCACUCUGCACAUUCUGAUGACCCGACUCCUAGUGACUCUUUCUGCUGUUUCCAAAAUUCGGACCGGAUAUUCUUCAUAAGUAAGAUCCCCUUUAACAGUUAAUUCCUCUAUCUGUAUCUGCUCCUCUGGCACUCGCAAGCACUUCUUAAGCUGUGACACAUGGAAGACAUCAUGCACUCCUUUCAAACUCUCAGGUAGUUCCAACUGGUAUGCCCCUUCGCCUCGCCUUUCCAACACUCUGAAAGGCCCAAUAUACCUUGGUGCUAACUUCCCUUUCAUGUUAAAUCUUCUCACACUUCUCAUAGUUGAAACCUUCAAAUACACAUAGUCUCCUAUUUCAAAAGCUAACUCUCUUCUUCGUGUAUCAGCAUAGCUCUUCUGCCGGGACUGUGCUGCUCUCAAGUUCUCCCUAAUUAUUCUCACUUGUUGUUCCGCAUCCCGUAACACAUCUGGUCCAAACACUUGUGUUUCUCCCGCUUCAUUCCAAAACAACGGGGUUCUACACUUCCGACCAAACAAGGCUUCAAAUGGUGCCAUCUGGAGACUUUUCUGAUAGCUGUUGUUGUAUGAAAACUCUGCAUAUGGCAAACUCUUAUCCCAACUCAUCCCAUACUGCAAAGCACAUGCCCUCAGCAUAUCCUCCAAAAUUUGAUUAGUCCUCUCAGUCUGCCCAUCGGUCUGGGGAUGGUACGCCGUACUGAAAUUCAGCUUAGUUCCCAGAGACUCAUGCACUUUCUGCCAAAAGUGAGAUGUAAACUGGGUACCUCGAUCAGAUACUAUCUUCCUGGGGACCCCAUGCAAACACACUAUUCUUUCCAUGUACAGCUCAGCCAAUUUUGGUCCACUAUAUUUGGUCUUGACUGGGAUAAAGUGAGCGACCUUUGUUAACCGAUCCACUAUUACCCAUAUAGAGUCAUAACCUUUCUGAGUGCGGGGUAAUCCCACUAUGAAGUCCAUACCAACUUCCUCCCACUUCCACUCAGGGAUCUUCAUUGGUUGCAACAAUCCUGCCGGUCUCUAAUGUUCUGCUUUGACCCUCUGGCAAGUGUCACAUAAAGCGACAUACUCAGCAACAUCUCUUUUCAGGCCAUACCACCAAUACUUCUCUUUUAGGUCUAGGUACAUCUUAGUGCUGCCAGGGUGUAUAGAAUAAGCGGACUCGUGUGCCUCCCGCAGAAUUGCCUCUCUAAUAGCCCGAUCCUCAGGCACACAUAGCCUUUUCCCAAACCAUAGUGUCCCAUUAUCAUCCAUUCGGAAUCCUGGUGCCUUUCCGAUCACUAUGUUUUCAGCUAUUUCGUUCAGCUUUUCAUCCUGUAACUGACCCUUUCGUAUUUCUUGCUCCAAGGUAGGUUCUAUUACUAACUCAACUACAUUAAUAACAAAACCCAAGUUCAAAUGUGAAAUUUCAGCACACAACUCCUCAGCCAUAGAGGCUAUUUGCACCUCGUUGGCAUAGCUCUUCCUGCUCAGGGCGUCUGCAACUACAUUUGCUUUCCCCGGGUGGUAGUGUACCUCCAAAUCAUAGUCCUUGAUCAGUUCUAACCAUCGACGUUGCCUCAAAUUCAGAUCCGACUGUGUGAAUAUAUACUUCAAACUCUUAUGGUCCGUGUAUAUGUCACUCUUAUGACCAAUAAGAUAGUGUCUCCAGAUCUUCAAGGCAUGAACCACUGCGGCUAACUCCAAGUCAUGAGUAGGAUAAUUCAACUCAUGCUUCCUCAAUUGUCGGGAUGCAUAUGCCACUACUCUUCCUUCUUGCAUAAGAACACACCCAAGUCCUAGACGGGAUGCAUCACAAUAUAUGGAGAAAUUCUUGGUUAGAUCUGGCAGUACUAACAUUGGGGCGGUAGUCAACCUCUUCUUCAACUCCUCGAAAUUUUCUUGACACUUGUCAGACCACACAAACUUGGCAUUUUUCUCAAGCAGGGCUUUCAUUGGUUUGGCAAGCUCGGAGAAUCCCUCAAUGAACCUUCGGUAAUAACCAGCCAAUCCCAAGAAACUACGGAUUCCACUCACAUCCGUAGGUGGUUUCCAAUCGAGCACAUCCUUCACCUUGCUUGGAUCCACGCUAUUCCUCCAUUAGAGACAACAUGGCCUAGAAAGGAAACUUCCUUCAACCAAAACUCACACUUACUUCGUUUAGCAUAUAACUUGUGUUCCCGAAACUUCUGCAAGACUAACCUCAGAUGCUCAGCGCGCUCUCGCUCAGUCUUGGCGAAUACCAAUAUGUCAUCAAUAAAUACCACCACAAACUUAUCAAGAAAUUCCAUGAACACCUUAUUCAUCAGGUACAUAAAGUAAGCAGGAGCAUUGGUCAGACCGAAAGACAUCACUGUGUACUCAUACAAACCAUACCGGGUCAUGAAUGCUGUCUUUGGUAUAUCAGUGGCACGAAUCUUCAGCUGAUGGUACCCAGAACGAAGAUCGAUCUUAGAAAACACACAAGCACCUCUCAACUGAUCAAACAAAUCAUCAAUUCUAGGCAAUGGGUAUUUAUUCUUGAUUGUGACCUCAUUGAGUGACCGGUAAUCUACACACAUCCUCUGUGUACCAUCUUUCUUAUCAACAAAGAUCACUGGUGCCCCCCAUGGGAAAGAGCUAGGACGAAUGAAACUUUUUUCCUGCAACUCCUUUAUUUGUUUCUUAAGAUCUUCUAAUUCUUUAACCCCCAUUCUAUAUGGACGUUUAGCUAUAGGUGCGGUGCCAGGUAAUAAUUCAAUAAUAAACUCAAUGUCACGGUCGGGUGGCAUACCUGGCAAAUCAUCGGGGAACACGUCUCGGAACUCAUCAACAACCAGGCCCUCCUGAUUGACAUUGUUAUCAAGCUGGUUUACUGUAGCUGCUGGCUGUGGCUGAACUGCAACUUCCACACAGAUUCUGUCCCCUUUUGGUGUCGUUAGUGCAACUGCCUUUCCUUUACACUGAAUUGAUGUAUCUUGUUGUUUCAUCCAAUCCAUUCCCAGAAUCACAUCUAUACCAGAUGCUCUCAACACAAUUGGACUUAUCUUGAACUCUACCCCCCUUAAGUUUAAAGUGGGAGGCAACUAUAAGCAGCUUGCAUACUUCCCCCCGGUGAAUGUACUAAUAUGGGAUUCUUCAUGGCACAUAAGGGUAAGCUAUGUAUUCUAACAAAUGCUUGUGAUAUGAAAGUAUGCGAAGCUCCAGAAUCAAAAAGAACAGAUGCGGGGAUAGAGUUGACUUCGAACGUACCGAGCAUAAGUUCCGGUUCAUGUUGUGCUGUCUCAGAGGAGAUAUGGUUCACCCUUCCAGUAUUGGGAGCUGACUUCUGGUUGCUAUUUUGCUUCUGGGGGGUCUGCUGAUUUUGCUUUUCAGGGCAGUGAUAUGACAGGUGACCCUCUUUACCACAGCGGUAGCACUUGUUGGGGGUGUUAGGGGCACUAGUCUUCAUUGGAGUGUUGCUGGGCGUACCCUGGCGUGACGUCUGCUGAUUUCCCUGCUGCUGACUCUGCUGAUACUGCGGGCGCUGCUGGAACUGAUUGCGCUGGGGGUACUGACCACGAUUCCACUGUGAAGGUGGUCCUUGGUACCUUUGCUGAGAACCUUGCUGCUGGUUGGUGCGUGGACGAGUAUUACUUCCGGAGGCCUGUCCCUGCAUCCUCUUCCUUUUAGCAUCCAUCUCCUUACGCUUGUUAUCCACCACGAUAGCACGGUUCACAAGCGUCUGAUAGUUGGGGUAUUCAUUGGACAUCAACUGGAGUUGGAGCCCAUCAUACAAUCCCUUCAAAAAGAGGCGCUGUUUAUCAGCAUCAUUAGCCACCUCACUGGGAGCAUAGCGCGACAACUGAGCAAACUUGUCCCUAUACUCUGGAACUGUCAUAGAACCCUGCUUCAAAUUCCGGAACUCCUCAGCCUUCAGUUCUAUUAACCCUUCAGGUAUGUGAUAGGACCUAAAGUUCUCCUUGAACUCCAGCCAUGUGAUGGCAGGUGCAUUGGGAGGUCGUCCAUACUCAAACGACUCCCACCAUGUCUGAGCUUCUCCCUGAAGUUGUCCAGAUGCAAACAACACCUUCUGCCUAUCAUCACACUGUGCUAUGUUGAGUUGCUUCUCCACUGCUCGAAGCCAGUCAUCUGCCUCCAGUGGAUCAGUAGCAUGUGUGAACACAGGGGGAUGGCCUUUCAAAAAUUCACCCCGCUUAUCACGCGGUGGUGCUCCUCCGAUUGGAUGAUUCUGUUGGUUGUUCACCAGGGCUUCCAUAAGCUGCGUCUGGACUGCUAGUAACUGCUCGAUGGUGGCGGGUGGGUGGAGUGGAACACCCCUUCCACGUCCUCUACCUCUUGGCGGCAUCUGUCAUAACAUUCAAACUUUAGAAACUCCCAAAAUAUAGACUUUCAAGUGCAAGUUUGCAAUUCUGAAAACUUCUGUGUGAGUCCAGUGCCAGCAGUUCAGUAAAACGAUCAUAACUUGAGAUAUAAAAGUCCAACAGAGGCGAAACUUUGAUGGUUGGAAAGCUUAAGAAAUUGUCUAGAACUUUUAUUUAGAACACAAAUUCAGAUUCGGACGUUAAAUUAGCCAGAAACUGUCUCCAAUCGAGACUGUCCCAUAACUCUAACUGCACAGGAACCUCUGUUUCGAACUUUCAUAACUCUCGGCUCAGAUCAGAUAAAAAGGUGAUUCCAGCGGCAUAGGAAAGAUGCUUAAGUCUAGUUAUUCCCAUAAAAUUUUCAUAAAUUUUGGUCGAACGGAUUUUUCUGGGUAAAAUUAUUAAGACAGAUAGGUUUAAAGAACGAAAACAGGAAAGACAGAUAUACCAACCCAACUAUUUAUUCAUUAAACCUUAAUCCUUAAGAACCUAAACUAUGGAACUUGUAGACAUGCCUACAAUGUCCCAGCACUCAUUACAAAGAUCCAACUCACUCGUGAACAUAAUAACAAGCAACUAAGCAUAUCAAAAGCACACCACACUAACUUGACUCAACUCACUAGCGCUUCUAGCGGCUUAUUACAAAUAGGGACUUCCAACACUAAGGGCGUGGUUCAUAGUCAAGCUUUCCAUAGAUCUUGGGCUGUCCUUCCCUCUCACGAUGCUCGUCAAUCAUCUUGUAGCACCUCUUGAGAGCCUUCCCUUGUGCUAUCACAAUGUCUUGCAAUUUCAAAUGCUUUUCCACCAUCUCAUGAGCGAAGUACACCAUCACUCGGGAGACUGGGUCCAAAUCUGUUGGCUCCAGCAUUCCCCAUCCUUGUUCCGGGUCCAGGCGGGGUAGAUAACGGUGUAUGUCCCACCGCAUGUUACCGAAACGCUGCUCACGGAGGAACAAACAUGCUGUGAAAGCUGCCUCCUCCAUGCUUUCUUCCAUGGUAGCUCUAUGUCCAUCAUGACGGUAGCCCCUAUCCUUCAAGUAGGCAUCUUUCUCCACAUCCUUGGGAAAGAUCAGCACCUUGGACUUCCAGUAGGUGUUCUCCAGGGGGUGUGUGUACUCAAUGCAGGAAUACUCCACCACUGUAUCCCAGUCAGAGAAGUAAUUCUCCAACAUUCCCACCAGCCGGUGAUGCGACGGAGCAUUGCACGAAGCCUUGUGGUACACCUUCCUAGUCCACCCUAUGGGAGGGGACUCAUCAUCUUCAGCAGGUCCAUCUUGUGGUGGUGAUGGGGGUUGACCUCCUCCAGGAGCACCUUCUUCUUCUUCAUCGGAAAUAAGUAUGAAUUCCUGGGGUUCCUCCUCUGGUUCCGACUCCACUUGCGAUAGCUCUGGCCCAGAUGCUUGCUCUAAAGGUGGUGGGGUCUCCUCAUGUUCCGGUGAACUCUCCUCUUGUGGCUCCAUAGGCUCGUAUUGGUAACAAGGUGGAUGGUACCCUCCAGUGGAGAUGCGGGCGGUCUUGUUGGCACGAACCAUCUAUAGAAUAGACCGGAGAGAAGUUAGAUUAGAAUCAAUGGUUUCAUAAUAGAAUAAGAUGAUAGAAGCAUAAGGUUUUUAGAAAAUAACAAGAGCAAGAUGGUAAGCAUGAAUAUAGAGAAGAAAAGACUACUAAAACGACCAUUUCUAUCUAGGCUUGCGUCCUACAGUCAACACGGCUCUGAUACCAAUUUGUCACACCCAAUUUUAAGGAUAAAAUUGAAUGCAAAACCUUAUGUGUGCCCAGAGAUCAAUCACACAUAAGCCGAUAAAUUAUAGGGAGUAUCAUCACAAGUGUUUAUUACAUAACGAUAUAACUCAGAGUCUUUACACAAAUAUAGCAGAAAUAAAAGAUAACUCUAGCAUGGAAGCUCCAUCACACAGGCACGUCAACUGGUUGACCACAAGUCUAGAAGUCCUCAGGGAAGUACUGGUAGUAGUCAUUGCCCAUGCCAUCUGUUACCCAUCCGGGAUUUUUAUCCAAAUAAAGAAAAUAAACAAGUGUAAGUACACCUCGUACUUAACAAGUAUAACAGGGGGUUCAUGAGGCUCAAAGGCUAGACACUGGUUUAUCUGCAUGUAGCUUUUAGUUGUCACAAUUUUAGCAUAUGAGUAGCAUCAAGUUGUUAAGACCCAUAAUAAACUCAUGAUCAGGUAAAGUGAAUAAAGAAUAGCAUAAACAACAUAUUAACAAUAAUACCAUUAAUGAAUUGCCAUUAGUGUUCAUUUAUUCUGUAUUGGUCCAAGGCCGCUCGUGACCGUGAGCACGGCUGAUAUAUCAGUUUUACACUCUGCAGAGGUUGUACACUUUCACUGUGAGUCCUGAUUUACCCUUUCGCCCGAGGUGAUCAGCCCCUUAGCCCACUCCCAAGGAAGACCGGCAGGGUUCACUAUGAAGCCUUUCAAAGGUUCGUCUAACAAGUUAGGGCCGCUAGGUUUCGUUAGUCAGUCCGUGUGACUCACCCGCAGGAAUCCACGGUCUGCUAUCCCCCACUUGCGCCACAAGGGUAACCACUAACAAGCUAGAAAAGGUCCUCAUACUGAGCUAAAGCCAGAGCCAUAUAGCCCUCACAGUUGUACUGUAAGUCUCGGAUGGUCAGAUACAGAUAAGUCCUUAUGGAGAGAAACUAGAGCACCAUAUAAUAGCCCAAUGCUCCAGCCCUCUUAUCCAAGGUUGCUAAAAAGUCAUCUUUUAAUGUUUAUUGCAUAAUUCUUUAGUCAAGUUACAAGAUCAUGGUUUAGUGGAGCACUAGCAUAAGCUACCCAAUGCAAAACCAUAGGUGACAAGGUAUAAGAUCAAUACUAGGAAAUCCUUAUCAAGGAGACACAUGUAGUAUGAAUUGUGUGCUUAAAGUUAUUAGGAAACAAGGAUGAUCCCAUGCUAUACUUGCCUUGAUCACACUGGUCCUGAGGAUCCUGCUCGUAGAAGUACUCUUGUUCACCCACGAACUGCUCACCGUCUAUCCGUAAUCAACAGCAAUCAUCCAAAGGCAAUCAUACAAAGCAAACAAGCCUAUUAUUAGAACAGUACACCAACAGUAACAAAUAAAGAUAAAAAGUUUAUAAAACGAAUCUACAUCGCUCUACGAUCACACAGACGUAAAGAUCACGAAAAUCGGAGUUAUAACGAAGAAGUUAUGAUUUUCCGAAGAUUUCCUUUAAAUAAAUAAUAGAUUAAAUCUAAACUCAGAUUUAAAAAGUUGAAAACUUGUACUACAGCAGCAUUAGACUAUAGAUUACACGAAAACAAAUCUAACGCAACUUGAACGUAUUAAAUCGGAGUUAAAACGAAGUUUUUAUGAGCAAAAUAGAUUCGAUGGCAAAACUGUAAAUCUGAGAAACUUCUUUUGAACUGCACGGCUGAAAUACGUUUUCCAACUUGGAAAGCGUAAACGGUGAAAGCGUAAAGGACUGCGGGUUACAUCUUUAAAAACCUCGGGGGGUUUUCUGCAAAUUUGGCGGCCGAAGGGGUAUCCUUCGUUUCUGGCCGUUGGAUCUCAAAUCGAGCGCUGAGAUUAGAUCGCAAGGGGGGGAAGAAAUCGGCCGGCCGGAGCUGAGGUCGACCGCGGCGGUGCCAUGGCCGGAGUUGGCCGGCGCCCACGGUUUUCGCGAUGUAGAGCACAAGGGGACAAACCAAGGGCACGGGGGCGUAGUGGAGCUCGCUGCGAACUCACCUAAAGCAAAUAUGACGUCGGGGAGAGACUCGGGUGCGCCUGCGACGGAGGAAGGCGGACGGCGACCCUGGAAAGCACACCGGCGAGCGUUAGCAAGGGAUAGAAAGCAGUAGAGCGCGAAGGGAGAGUCUCUGCGACUUCGCACGACGAAAACGAAGCCCGGCACGUCGCUCGCGGAGGCUCGAAGGCGCUGCGAAGGCGGAUUGGGGAUGCGGCGGAUCUCGGCGGCGGCUUAGGGCGUGUUUGACGCGACGACUGCAGCUCAGGAUAGCUUGGGGGUUGCGGGGCUUCGGGUCGGUAUUUAAUGGAUGGAAACCGGGCGAAAUCGGGACUCCUCGCGCGAAUCGCGCGCACGGUUGCAGUGCGGCUCGUGUCCGACCCGGACUCGAGGUGGAAGACGAGCCUGACAGGGCGGUCCCACCUGGCAGUGGCGCUGGAGCGCGGGACCCGGCCGUCAGCUGCUGAGGCAAGAUGGGGGAGGCGCGGGCGCUGGUUGUCCCUCUGGGCCGCGAGGUGGGCCGUGCGGACGCUGGCUGGGCCGGAGCAGAGAGAAGAAGGGGAAGAGGAAAUGCGGGCCGCGGGGGGGGGGGGAAGAAGGGGUUGGGCCAAGCCCGAGACAGGGGGAAAAUAAAGAGAAACCUUUUCCAUUUUCUAAAUUAAGUCUUGCUCAAAUCUUUUGAAAAGUAUUUCCAAAACCAAUUCGAAAGGAAGGAACUUCACUUAACAAAAUAUAUGCAGCAGCAUGAAUGCACAUACAUGUGUCUAGACCUUAUAUUGGAUUUUAUUUCAACCAAAAAUUAUUUUAUUACUAUUUCUCAGUGCUCACAUUAAAUAAAUAAAUCAAUUAGCCUAUUUGGAAAAGUGAAAUUUUUAGGGUGUUACAGUGAAUUUGAAGAUCAAGCACUCCAAGACCCCCUUCAAUUUUUGGUCUACAAACCAAGGGCCAGGCAGCUUUUGAUGGCUUCUUACAAUUCAAGUUGGACCCUCUCCAAAGGUAGUGCUUCCUAAACUUGUCAAUCUGCUUAAGAACCGUCUUGGAAAUUAAAAAGGUACACAUAGCAAAAGUUGGUAGGGCAGAAAGAACAGCAUUUGUUAAUUGCAAUCUGCUAGCCUCAGAGAGCAAGUAAUAAAAAAUUUCUAGUCUCCUUUCACAUUUGGAAACAAGAGGCCAAAAAUGAGCAACCGAGGGUUUGACAAUACUAAGUGGCAGACCCAGAUAGGUGAAGGGCAAAGUUUGUUUACUGCAACCCAAGACCUCUGUCAGGGUGUCCAACCGUUCUUUAGAAAUGUUGAUAGGAACCAUGAAGGAAUUGUCAAAGUUUACUCUCAAUCCAGAAGAUUCUCCAAAAACAUGUAAAAUGUCUUUAAGGUGCUGCAGUUGAGAUACAUCCCCUUGCAUGAAGAUGAGUGUAUCAUCAGCAUAUGGAAGGAUUGGAAAAUCAGUACCAUGCUCUAGAGGUAGGAGUAAAGCCAGUCUACUAUUAGCACGGUCAAGAUUGAGGACUGAUUGAAGCAGAUCAGCUACUAGAACGAAGAGCAAAGGUGAUAGAGGGUCACCUUGUCUAACCCCCCUUCUGCAAUGGAACACUUUACUUGGGAUCCCAUUAAGAAGAACAGAAGAGGUUCCAGAUGUGAAGAUUAACUUCAUCCAAUUAAUCCAUUUUGUGGGAAAACCUUUGUGUUCCAUUAUUUGUAACAUUAAACCAUGUUCCACUUUAUCAAAAGCUUUUUCAAAGUCCAACUUGGGAAUAAUGAUUUCUUUCUUUGAUUGGUGACACAUAUGCAAAUAUUCCAAGGCCCAGGCAACACAGUCUUGAAUGGUUUUAUUCUUGAUAAAACCAUAUUGGUUUUUAUGAAUCAAAGAAGGGAUCACAGAUUGCAAUCUGUUGGCAAGUAAUUUUGUUAUGAGUUUAACAGAAUUAUUGAGCAGAGAGAUGGGCCUGAAAUCAGAAACCAUUGAAGGGUCAUCCUUUUUGGGGAUCAGGGUUAUGUAAGAACCAUUGAUGCUUUGCAAACAGAGAUUUUCAGAGUAAAAAGCUUGACAAAGAUCAUAGAAGUCUUGACAUAUCAGGGUCCAACAUUUCUUCAGGAAGUCAGUAUUGAAACCAUCUGGGCCUAGGGAUUUGUCAGAAUGGAGGUGCUUCACUAUUGCAUCAAUUUCUUCAUGCGAGAAGGGCUGAAUCAGGCUUGAAAGAUCCACAUUAUUCUGUAACAAAUUUGGCAAGUCCAAGUGAACGUGUGAGAAGUUGGUAGUGCCCAGCCUCUCUUUAAAGGAAUUCCAAAUAAGACUAGCUUUAUCCUCAUGAUUGAAAAGAGAUUGACCUUGGUCAUUGACUAGAUGAGUAAUAAGACUGUGCCUAUGCUUAAUAGUAGCAUUUGCAUGAAAAAAAUCUUGUAUUGGCAUCCCCAAGGGUUACCCAUUUGACUGUGCCCCUUUGUUUCCAGUCUGCUUUUUGUUGUUGAAGCAAGGAAAUAAGCUUGUCUUCCAAAAUGGAUUGAAAAUUCCAUUCUACAAGGGAAAGAUCUCUGAAAUCGUCUAACAAAUUAAGAAAAUCCAACACGAGCUUAACAUGUGAAAUAUUUUGCUUUAAUUUGGAGAGAUACAAUUUCCAAAGUUUCAACACCUUUCUCAAGUUUUUAAAUUUGGCAGUUAACAGUUUAGUAGCAUCCGAAUGAUGAGAUUCAGUAUUCUAGCCCAGGUAACCUGAUCGAAGAAAUCAUCACAUUGUAACCAAUAGUUUUCAAAUCUAAAAAUAAGUGUUUUGGGGAUAGCAGUGGAGAUAGAGAUGAGGCAAGGAACAUGAUCCGAAGUUUCAGCUCUUAGUGUAGAGACACUGGUAGAAGGGUAAUUAAGAGUCCAGCUAGCUGAGGUAAAAAACCAGUCGAGACUCUCCAACAGAGGUGGGUUUUGUUUAUUGGACCAAGUAAAAUGUUUUCCUUUUAAAGGUAACUCAAUCAGACCUAGAGCACUGAUAGCCUCAUUGAACAGAUAGAUUUCUGCAUGAUCAGCACCGUCUCUAUUCCUGUCUGCAGGACUACGAUAGAGAUUAAAAUCACCAACUAUGAGCCAGUCUACAUGGUCAGGCAUUUGGAUGUGUUUAAACCACCGAAGGAACUCUCUUUUGCCCUGAGGGGUGCAAGGGGCAUAGAUGUUAGUCAGAAUCCAGGUUACAUUAGUAUGGAGAGACGUGAACUCGAUUGAAACUGCAUAAGCAUUCUGAAAGAUCAUAGUGUGAGAAAAAAUAGCACUGUUCCAAACGACAAUGGAACCCCCAGACGCUCCAAUAGAGGGAAAAAAAUGAAAUCAUCAAAGGAGGGAGUACAAAAAUUACGAAGGUAGGAAGGAUCAAAGUUAUCACGUUUGGUUUCUUGUAAGCACAAAAUAUCACAGUUAUUGGCACAAAGCCUGUCACGGAUAUGUCUGAGUUUAUCCCCCUGAUAUUCCAAGACAAAACAAUCCACUUUCUAACUUGUAUAUAACAAAAGCACAACAACGGAUAGAGGAACUGUAACAACAUCAGUUCUUGGAUUGUGAAGAAGGUCCAGCUUCAGAAUCCUGAUCAGCCAUUUCUGUGGCUGAUUUCUUUCCUUUCUUAGCUUUAGCAGUAGGCUUCUUAGAUGGUCCUUGAUCCAUCUCCUUUGCUAACCUUAACUUCUUGGAGGUAGGUUUUUGUACUGCAGCUUUGCUGUUCUUGGCAGUAAGCGGGUCAUCUGAGAGUGUUGUAGCUUCAAUGAUGCAGAAAGCAGUUCAAAGGUCCCGGACUACAGACGGAGAAAGAACCGGAGGAUUAGGUGAGCAUCCUAAGCAAUUUUUAUCCUUGCAGAUAGAUGAUUUAAAACCUUUAGAUUGAUUAUGGAUUCAAUCACUGUGUCUUAAAUCAGCUUCUAUGAUGUAUGUUUUUUUACCUCUCUUUCCUUUGGGUGGCGUCUUGCAGAUUGAAGGAGCUAGAGGGGGUGUAGCUUUGCUUUUAUCAAAAAGGACUUGGUCGGUAUCACCAUCGGAGGAAUCAGCAGACUGUCUAGAAUGAUCUGCCAUGAGAGAAUAGGUGAUAUCAGAGAUGACCACAGAGGGUUUUGUGGGAGGUAAAGAAAAAGAGAAAGAGUUACUGUUACCAGAGAAGUUCUGUAGAGAAGUUCAGGCUUCAGAUGUAAGAAACUCCUUAGCCAACUCAUAAGAACCUUGUUUAAGUAGCAUCAGUGUGAAGAAAUCCACCCACUGCGAUGGAACUGUUACCCUUGGAAGGCUGUUGUCUAAGCUGGCAAAGUACUUAGCCCAGCAUCUGAUGGCCAUUGGGCUUGGGCUGAAAGUAGAUGAGCUACUAGAGUGUGAAAGCCCAAGAUCCAGGGAGGUGUGCUUUUCAAGAGGGCCCAAUUUUGUCUACUGGUGAAGCAAAUCUGGCACUACUGGUGGGAAGAAAGUGUGGACAAAGCCCAGUUGCACCUGGUCAGGGUCAGGGUUUUCCAAUAGAGGUUGAUUCAAAAUAGGACUGCCACCCUGUUGUAUUGGCGCCAAAGGAGCUUGCGAACAUUUUCAGGUAUCUGAAGAUCCAAAGCAGGAAGGUAAGUGCAGAUCCAAAGCCUGAUUAUUUGGUGGAGCCUCUAGCUCAAGGUUCAUAUCUAACCAGUCUAUCAAAUCUUCCUCUUGAAUUUCAUCUGGCAUGAGAGGUUGUAGAUUGUUGAAGUCAGGAAAAGCCACAAUUUCCACUGGGGGAAUAGGAAGCUGUGCUUGUGGAUGGAUGUCAGAGUAUGUGUCUGUGCCAUCAUCCAUGGCUAUCACUUGAUCAGAAACUUCAGGUUGGUCAACAACAGCAGGAUUAUUGACUUGUAUGACUUCUUCCUCAGGGACACCAUUCUCAUUGUUGCUAAUCUCAUUAUUACCUUGGUCCAGCAGCACCUGUUGCAGGGGAAUAAGAGGUGGAGCCUCAUCCUGAAUAGGAUUGGGAUGUUGAGCCACAUUGUUGUUUGCAUUUGGCUGAUCCCAAGGAACCCAGCCCUGAUCCUCAGCAUUACCAUUACCAAAUGGAGGUGGGGGUGGACCUUAUCCUGGUUGACCAUAACCGAAGAACUCAAAGUGGUUGGGAUCAAGAUCCUCUGGAUCAUCUGGAGGGAAGUCUUCAUCCUGAGCUUGUGCACCUAACAUUGUUGCUGAGAUAAUCUCACACUGCACUGUCCAGCUAUCUGACUCAGAAGUUUCCCCUUCUGAAAAGUUGAAAAACUAGGGGAUCUCAUCUAAGCAGAAACUCUAACCUUGACCAGAGCUCUAGCCAUAUUAUUAUGAUCUUCUUCUCAGACAAUGAGCUUCCCAAAGGUGGAAACAACCUUUUCAACCAAAGGAUAGGACCAAGCAUCAUUAACCAAGCUUCAUGAGUAAAGAUAGCAGUCCUAUUAUUCAAAGCCUUGUCAUGAGGGAUGAAGGAAACCUGAGUGCUACCAAAGAUGUGGGGGCCAUUACUGAUCAUAGCAUCUCUGUGUCAAACCCAACAGAAAGUCACAUAGGCCUACCCAAAAGGACAAGGUUAAAUUGAAUGAUAUGGUAUGCCCAUCUGAACAUUGAGGAAUUCAGCUAACGUUGCAUGAAUAACAGGGAAGUCUAGCUGAGCUUGCGGCAACGGAUUGAUUAAAGCAAUGGCAAGAUCAUUGUUGACAUGCUUUAGAGCACCAGUAACUACUCGACGCAUUGUAGGUCUUCCUGGCACCAAAACUCUUUGUCCCCAGGUGGGCAUGAAAGGAGCUGGAUCAACAAAUCGAUAUGCCAUUGCACCGCGAUUGGGGUUUACUGUAGCAGAAAGUGGGGUUUUUAGGAACCAGGAAAUGUGAACCGAGGGAGGUAUAGGGAGAGAAGAGAGCUGGGCAUGAUCUCUGAGGGAAGAAAGGGAGAGCACUGACCGUGAAGAAGUCGGGGAGGAAGCUGCCUCCUCAUCGACGUCGUCGAUGAACUCCGGAGCCCGGAGUCGCCACGAUAGAUUCUAGGGAAUGACGAUAGGAGACGGAGGCGAGUGAAUGCUGGAAAAUUCUCUGAUGUACUCUAUGACCGACCUAUAGAUUUUGGGGUCAUGAGAGAGAGGAGGCCCACCGAUCAGCGACGUUGAGGGACGGUGGACAUGAGAAGUUGAAGCGUCUCUCCGAAUAGAAGGAAAUGGCGCGGGUCGGGGCACUAAACGGCACUGUCCAGAAUCGUGGCCGGCAAGGAGGCAAAUCCGGCAGCGCCUAAGGUUCUUACACCCAGGCCAUGAGUGGGCUGGAGAUAAGCAAAUAGAGCACAGAGUCAACAAAGGCCCAUGGGAUUUGUGGACACGCUGCAGAUCUGGGAUCGGCCCCAAAAUGCCGGCUUCCAAAAAAGAAGCAGUCUUUUUAAUUCCAUGGAUGGCACCUCUUUUAAUUGCAUGGAUGGCGCCUCUCUUAAAAACAGAGUUAACGGCACACUUAAGAGUUUUUUGAAAAUUCGAAAACUCCAUGGAUUUGGAGCUCGAAGCAGGAAGACUGGAUCUUGAAGCAAGAAGAGGAAUAGCAUUGGCACCCGUUAGACGUACCGAUUUGCGGUGAGAAACCUCAAUCCAUUCUGCUGCUUGUUCCCGGCACCAACUCUUGUAUUCAGCUCGAAAAUUGGGCCCUCCAUUGUGCCAGAGAUGGAAGAAGAUCUUGAAAACCUGGCAUUCAAAAGCUCGAAGACGAUGGAUAUGAAAGCCAACUUGCUGAUUAGCCACUGAGAAACAGAAUACUCUAUCAUCAAGUUGAAUCACUCGAAAAGCAGCAGCUGAACCUCCAAGAACCGAUUGCAGAAGGGACUUAACCAGAGAAGCAGAGAGGUGUAAUUUACAGCGACCAACUGAAAGGACCAUGAUGAAUUCUUUAGAAGAUAGAGAAGGUACAAAGUUAACCGGAGAUCCAUAGCGACGGAAGAUCUCAGCCUCCACCACUCUGCCCGGGCGAAGAUUGAAGGAAGUAGCAGCCAUGAGGAAACACCGCCAGUGAAGAAUCACCAGACCAUCACGUGGAUCGCUGGCCGGUCGCCUCCAGACCUCCACUAUGGGUAUGUGGCAGCACCUUUACUCUAUCUUUUCAAUGGCACAUGCAUGCACAUAAUAACCAGCCCCAUCUCUCCCUUUUUUUUCACACCCAAAAACCAGCAGCCAUCUCCUUUCAAUCCCCUCUUGAUGGCACCAAUUUUUACUCCAAUUUACUUCACUUCAUUUGCAUGCUCUCAUGCAGCAAACAACAGUUAUAAAACCCCCCUCAUCCCCUCCUCUCUCCCUCACGCAAGCACCAGAGAAGGAGCAUCCCAUCUCCUCCCCUCCCUCCAUCAGAUGGGCACCCAUCCUCCUCUCCUUUUCCCCAUGGCUGCAGCUCCAAAUCCCUCUCAUUCUUCUCCAACAAAAUGGAACCACAUGAUCAAUCGGAGUAUGUUAUGCCGCUGGUUCUAUCUUCUAGGCAUGACAACAACAAUUGUUGAGAUUUUCUCCUUGUUGUUCAUCUCUUAUAUAUCCCCUUGUUGAUCUCAUCGAAUCACAGGACCUCAAGGAAUUCCUCAUGAUAAUCCCUAAUGUACAGAGAUGAGGUUCUGCUUCCUAUUGAACUCCAUGCAGUGAUAUUCCUCGCUUCUUAUCGUGGUUUGCCGCCGUUGCUACUACUGCUGUGCAGCACGGUGAGGACACUCCAACUCCUGCACUCUCACCUACAUGGUCACCCUAUUUUCUUCCUCUAAUUUCCUCUCCACCCUUUUUAUGAAAUUGUAGUGCCCUGGCUGCGAUGAAUCCGUUAUGCCACUGCACAUAUGUUCUCGUUGCUGGAAUCCAGGAAUCAUUUGCAUUGUGCUGCGGUAAGGGUCAUGGUUUUCUCUGUUUUUGCUGAGAAACUCAUGCUCAUCAUGUCCCCUCCUUGUUGUGACCUUUCAAGGAAAUACCAUGCUGCUGCAGUGCUUUAUGGAGGCUAUCUCAAUGUGUCGUGUCGCCUUCCAAAACUAGCAGCACAUCCAAUCGAUUGCUGAUCGUUUUGCUGUCCUUCAUUUGCGUUGGUCGCCAUCGGGAUCAUGUCCAGCAACCAUGUACCUUGAUGUGAGUCCCCCCCUGUCUCAAUCUUGUAUACAUAUUCUUUUCCAUAAAUCAUGAGCCAUAGUCCAAGUUUGAUCAAAUUCUGUCAAAGUUUUCCCGCAAUCGUGUUGCUGUCCUUUUUGGACAGCAGUGUUAUUGCCGUCAGCGUUCAUGUUCUCUAUUGAUCCGUCAAGCUCUAUGAUGAAUCCUUUGAAUAUAACAUCAUCUAUGUAUUUGCACACGUCCCUGCAAAAUUUCAUAGUGACAGACUUCAAGAUGAAAGAGAUAUAAUCGUCUUUUCAGUGCUUGCUGUCCCUGCUAUUUCAGCGCUAUUGCGCCUGUGUUUGGUAGUGAUGUUCCCCAUAAUACAUUAGUCAAAUCAUCAAACCAUUCAUACAGCAUGUGUGUCCUAUCCUUGCACAUGCCUCUGCAAAGUUUCAUGGCUAUAGGAUUAAAUAUGGAAGAGAUAUGAUCCUAUCUUUUGCUCACUGUCCCUGCUGCCCCGGAGCAGAGUUCCAGCUGGUUGGCAUGCAUAUUCCUGAUGUUCCAUCAUUCCAGUGACUGUGUCCUUCGACCACAAUGUGUCUAAUAUUGUUUCACACGUCUCUGAGAAUUUUCAUGACCAUAGGAUUCAAGACAAAAGAGAAAUGUUUCUAUCUUGUGCUUUCUGUCCCUGCUGUCCCGCAGCCGCAAUGAGACCAGUUGGCACGUGUGUUCUCAAUGAAUCGCCACUCUAGUGGUCAUGCCCUUUGAUCACGGUGUAUAUCAAAUAUGUGCACACAUCUCUGCAAGUUUUCUUGGUCAUGUGAACCACAACGCCCAAAAUAUAAGCAUCUACGUGUCACUGCUCCUGUCAUGCCUACAGCCACGCAAUACCACCUUGCAAUCUCGUUCCCUGGCUAUCCGAUAGUCAAAACAUCAUGUUCUUUUGCCACAACAUACUCCAUACAGUCCACAACACGCCCAUUAAAAUGAUCUCAAUUUGGUGCUAUUAAGGCCAUGUUCCUUGUAAUCAUAACCACUGCUGUCCACCACUGGGUUUGCUUAACCGAUGUGCAAAUCGUUAUCAUCGUGCUUCCCUUUUAUGUAACAUUUCAUUAGUGCAACCAUUAGUCACGAUAUGUUCCAUGUAUACUCUUCACAAAUCCAUAGUCAUCAACAAAUCAUCUAUAGAUCCUUGUGCUCCAUAAAUCUCGCAUCCACGUUCAUCAUGUUUACUCUAAUCCUAUCAUUUAUCGAACCUUCUAGUCUCUAUCUGAUAUAUCUUUUAAUCAUGACCUUGUGUUAUUUGUUUUUGUGCUCAACGAUCGUAGUUGCAAGUUCUACGUGUUUAAAACUUUUAUCAUAUUUUGUAAUGCUUGGUGUACUGUUUUUAGGUUCUUGUGAUGCUUGAACCAGUUGAUUGCUAUCGUUAGAAGAGGAGCUCUACAAGGAUGAUGAAGAAGUUGGAUAAAUUUGAGCAACAGUUGAAGGCAAGUGUAACAUGAGUUCCCUUGUUACAUAAUAACUACUUAAUCACCUCUUCAUGUGCGAGUGUCUAAUAUGAUAAACCCCUAAGGACAUUACCUAGAACCUUUGUUAUCCUGAAUCCCUUGUUACCAUGGGUUAUGCAUAUGGGUAGUUUUGCUUAGUCUGCAAUCCCAAUCAAUAUAAUGUUAAUCUUGACUAAUGGAUUAUGUAAUCAAUGAUAAAAUGAUGCUUUUUAGCAACAUGGAUAGAAGGGAUCUAGAGCAUUGGGCCUUUUUCGGUGCUCUAGUCUGCACUCCGUAAGGACUGAAUCUUAAAGCGGCCACCCAGGAUUUACGGUACAACCAUGAGAGCUACAUGGCUCUGGCUUCAGCUCAGUAAAAAAACUUCUCUAACUUAUUAGUGGUUACCGAAAGGCGAAAGAGGGGGAUGCCUCAUGGUGUAUAGUUUUUUUUCUACCUUGGCGUGUACAGUGUCACAACCACAUGUGCCUCUUUGAGGAGGACACCUAUGCACACUUGCCAUUGAAACCUCGCGGCUACUAACUUGUUAGGGGGACUUUCGAAAGGCUUCAUAGUGAACCCUGUCAACAUACCUUGGAAGUGAGUCAAGAGGCUGAUCACCUUGGGCAUAUGGGUAACACGACUCAUGGUGAAUGUGUACAAGCUCUGCAGAGUGUUUUAAAACUGAUAUAUCAACCAUGCUCACGGACACGAGCGGCCUAGAUCCUUUUCGAGAUAGAUGGUUCUAUGGAUGGUUUGGGUGAUGAGUAAUGUUGAUGUUAAUCAUACUUCUCACCUUGGGAGCUUAAGCAUAAGCAAGCAACAUAGGUCUAAUAAUAAAAUAUGACCAACUAAAAAUGCUUAUCGCAGUCAAACCAAGUCAAGCCUUUUGAGCCUUGCAUCCCUUCAUGUUAUACUUGUUGAGUAUGGUGCUCUCACACUUGCUUUACAUUCAACAAUCAAAAAUCCCGGAUGGGUACCAGAUGGUGAUACAAAGGCGGAGUUCCCUGAGAAGUUCCAAGAGUACUAGGCGAGUGUACCCCUAGUCAACAGUCCCUGUGGAGUAUGGAGACCCGAAGAGAAGAUAUAGAAUAGUUUCCGCUAUACUUUGUAACAGAUGUAAGCCUUGUUGUAACUAUGUUCGAGAUAUAAUAAAGCAUUGUUCUUGAUAUUCUCCAUAUUUGUUGCUAUAUGUGUCAUGUGGACAUCCUGGGCACACAUUUAAUUAGCGCCUGGUAUUCUUUGGAAAACUGGGUGUGACAAUAUGCCUCAGUUAGCUCAUGAUCAUUUAAUUUGCAAGCUUUAACUCAUAUAUUUGCAAGCCAUCAAAUAAUCCAAUAAAUCACCACAACUUGAAUUUGACACUUGUAUGUUGUAGCAUAUUUGGACUUCAUUAUCUUGUCAUGGCAUUGGGUUUCAAUACUUGACUCAAUCAUAUGAUGAAUAAUUAUAGGAUCAAUUGAAUCAAUUCUCCAAUGCUGAUGGUACCUACACACGUUCAUUCACUUUUUGAUGGUACCCAAACUAGUUUGGGUCCUCUCAAGUUAUGAGCAACAUACUUAGGCGAUGCCCUAGUAUGAGUAGAAGGAUGUUUUGCAAUAGAAACCAUAGAGGUACCAUCACCAUCCUUUCUAAGCACAUUAGCAUUAUCAAUUGAAAUAUGCUUACAAGUGUUACCUAGGGGACAUCACUACUACAGGAUUCAUUAACCGCAACGAGCCCAUUUCCACCUCCAUGGCGGGCACAGUUUUCGCCCACCACAGUUAUUCAUCCGCACGCCAGAACCACCGACCACAGAAACGCCCGCUGCGGUAAAAGAUUAACCGUAGCGGGCAAUAUAAAACGCCCGCUUCAGUUAAUCUUAUUAACGGUAGCGGGCUUCGUAACUUGCCCGCUACGGUUAAUGCAUUUACUGCAGCGGGCUGUUUAAGAUGCCCACUGCGGUUAACUGACAUUAACCGUAGCGGGCACUUUAUGUUGACCGCUUCGGUUAACCUUUGGCACUAUAAAUAGUAGCCAUCCGACCUUCUUCUUCCUGAUGGCGCCUCCUCUCUUCCAAAUCGUGGGGGAGUGGUUUUGCCCUAAAAUUUGACCAAAUAAUUGAAUUGUGGUUUAGAACUUCAAUUUGGUGGAGUAGGACAUCAUAAGAGGUACAUAGGAGGUCUCUCUCCUCUUUCUCUCACUUUUGAGCCUCCUCUAUGUCUAUAUAUAGCUAGAUCUAGAUCUAGUUUCAUGUAGGAGAGAGAAAGUUGUGUUUUUCUUGUCUAGAUUCUUAAUGGAUGCAUAUGAAACCUUCAUCGUAGGCACGAGAUGGAUAGGUCGGAAUGGAUGUACGGGAUGAAUCGGGUGCUUGACCCGCGGUACCUUGUUGAAGUGAGGAAGUUUAUUGCCGUGGCAAAAGCUCACCGUGAGAGAUCGAAGCGGACGACAACCAUAAGUCCAUGUUCUCGCUACAAGAAUCUGACAGCCUUCACGAACGACGGUAUGGUGCAGUCUCACUUGAUUCGAUUUGGUUUCAUGGAGGGUUACAUAGUCUAGACUCAUCACGGUGAAAGAGUGGACCCCAGUGGCGAUGCAUCUGGUUUGAGCUCGGCGUCGACGACCAUGAACCAAGAACCUAGAGCGCCCAUCUCAUCUCCAGCGACUGCAUGCCCAACCUGUGGCAACAAUGAUAGUGCUCGUGAUUACAUCACAGUGGAUGAUAUACUCGGGGAGAUGGCAGAUGGUGUUGUAGAUGGCGACGCAGCUACCAUGUAGGAACCCGAGGAUAUCGAGGUGAUCGAGGGUUUAGUCAGCCACAUCGAUGAAGACGACGUUGUGUAUGGCUCCCCGAAGUGGUUGGAAAAUUUUAGAGAGAUGAAGCAGGCUGCACUUGAUCCAUUGUAUAAGGAUGGCGGCGAUUGUCCCAAGGAGUGCACGGUGCUCCGGUUCAACCUCCACAUGUUGAUGAUGAAGGCCCAGCAUGGCUGGUCUGAUACUAGCUUCCAUGAGCUGUUAAGUUACCUUGCUACCAUGUACCCGACGGGUAACAAGGUCCCCGCAAAUAUGUACCGUGCGAAGAAGUUGAUUCGUCCAGUUGCGAUGAAACUUAGAAAGUUUGAUGCCUACCCCAACCACUGCAUCCUUUAUCGAGGCAAGGAGUAUGAGAAUAUGACGAGCUGUCCGCACUGCUGCACCAGUCGCUACAAGAGGAAUGCUGGAUGUCAUGUGGACGAAGACGACGAUGUGGCCUUGUGGGGUGGUCCGAAGAGGAAGAAGGAGGCCAAGAAAAGCAGUGCCGCAGCUAAUCACAUCUCGUCUCAGUAGGAUGAGGAAGAAGAGGGCUACACGCGGAGGAAAAGCCCGGCACUAUCGUUGUGGUACCUGCCUGUGACCGAUCGCUUGCGUGCACUAUUCGGGAACCCAGAGGAUGCCAAGCUCAUGUCCUGGCAUGCAUCAGCUGACCGCAAUAAGGAUGAUGGCAUGCUGCGGCACCCAUCCGAUGGCCAACAGUGGAAAGAUUUUGACAAGGCAUACCUGGAAUUUGGUAAGGAGCCUAGGAACGUCCGGUUCGCGCUGAGUACUGACGGGAUGAACCCUUUUGGUGAGCUUAGCAGCUCGCAUAGCACCUGGCCAGUCGUACUCACCGUCUAUAACCUACCUUCCCAUCUGUGUCAGAGGAGAAGGUAUCUUAUGCUGACCAUGCUUAUCUCAGGACCGAAGAUGCUGACCAUCCUAGAGCCGUUGAUGGAGGAAAUGCAGGAGUUAUUUGAUGUUGGGGUAGAGAUGAUUGAUGCAUCCCACAAAGAGAAGUUCACCCUAAAAGCCAUCAUCAUUGUCACCAUCACCGAUUACCCCGGUCUCUUCUCACUAUCAGGGCAGAUCAAAGGGAAGACCGGCUGCAUAGUGUGCAUCGACGGCAGUUGCUACACUUAUCUCCAAGGAUCUCACAAGAUGGUGUACAUGAGGCAUAGACGGUUCCUCAUCAAGAAGCACAGGUACAGAAGAAGUGUUAUGAAUCAGUUCUUCGCUGAUCAGGAAGAGCCGCAGGGUGAAGCACCGGCGUAGACUAGUUGGGGGCCAAAGGUGUAUGACAUGGUGAAGGAUAUGGAUCACAUAGAGUUUGGCAAGAAGAAGAAGAAGGUACCAGAAGAAGAGGGGACAAAACAGACAAGAAAGCGAAAGCAAGACACGAAAGAGGACGCUGCACCGCCUGUCCCUUUCAAGAAGAAAUCGAUUUUCUUCAAGUACCUGUCAUACUGGAAAAUCCUGAAAGCACCCCAUGCCAUUGACUGCAUGCACCUCGAGAAGAACGUCUUCGAUAGCACCAUUGGUGUCCUACUGGACAUCAAGAGCAAGACGAAGGAUGGCCUGAAGUCACGAUUGGAUCUUGUGAACCAGGGCAUCACGAAGGACCUUCACCCGGGUCCGACUCAUAACGGCAAAGUCGACCUACCAGGUGCGUCCUACCACCUAAGGCAUGACGAGAAGAUUGCUAUGCUCAAGUUGUUGAGGGGUAUCAAGGUGCCGACCGGUUUCUCUUCCAACAUCAAGAGUCUGGUGUCCAUGAAAGACCUCACACUGGCCGGCUACAACUCACAUGACUGUCAUGUCAUGCUGACGGUGUUCCUUCCAAUCGUGAUUAGGGCUAUUGGUCCAGAAUACGUGAAGAUGGUGGUCACUCGGAUGUCAUACUUCUUUAACCGUAUCACCCAAAAGGUCAUCGGUAAGGCUGACCUGCCUGCCCUGAAGGAGUUCAUUGCAGAGACCCUCUGCCAGCUCGAGAUGUGCUUUCCCCCGUCUUACUUUGAUAUUAUGCCACACCUGAUGAUGCACAUGGUUGAUCAGAUCGAGCAACUAGGCCCCGUGUACCUACACCAGAUGUGGACGUACGAGCGGUUCAUGCCCACCCUCAGCAGAUACGUCCAUAACCGUGCUUACCCAGAAGGCUCCAUGAUCGAGGCAUACACAACUGAGGAGUCCGUGAACAGGUGCAUGAGGUACAUAAGAGAUGGGAGAGCGAUUGGGAUGCCAGUCCAUCAGCACGAGGUCAGAACCACGGGGUUGGGGCGUACUGGACGCAAAGUACGCACCGAUAUACCAUACAAAGAUGUGGAACAAGCUCAUUACAGUAUCCUUCAUCAGUUAGUCAGCAUGGAGAAGUAUGUUGACAGACAUGUAGAAGAGAUCCGCGCCGGACAACACACAGAGGAAUGGGUCCAGAAAGAGCACAAGAGCACUUUUCUAUCCUGGCUUAAAGAGCAACACGUACCCCUAGAAGGCUGCCCUGAUGAAGAUACAGACACCGUUAAGAAGCUUGUGCUAGGUCCGUCCACCCAAGUCACCACGUGGCAAGGGUAUGAUGUCAAAGGGUACCGGUUCCACACGAAAGAAAAGGACAAGAAGAGCGCCGCACAGAACAGCGGUGUUCGAUAUGAGGGUGUCGACGAGGCCACAAACUCGAGCACGCAAUACUAUGGGCAGGUCGAUGAAAUAUGGGAACUUGACUAUGGCAAAGACGUUCGCGUAACCGUCUUCCGAUGCCACUGGGUUAACCCAAAAGCAGUUUCGGUGGACAACUAUGGGCUAACCACCGUGAACCUCAAAAGUACAGGCUACAAAGAUGAUCAGUGGGUACUUGCAAUCAAUGUCGCGCAAGUGGCCUACUAUAUAUAUCCGGAGGACACAAAGAGGCAUGUGGUCGUGUCAGGAAAGCAACGGAUCGUUGGAGCUGAUGGGGUACAGAGCCCAGAACAUUACAACAACUAUGAAGAGCUCGAGCUAUUUACCGAUCUACCAAAGAAGGUGAAGGCCAUCGAGGACCGUUGCAACAAGAGUGGAAUGAAGCCAUGGGCCCGACAUGAUGGUGAGGUGCGGUCCGUGAAAGCGCCUGCCCCAAAAUGAGAGAACUAUUUAAGAUAAUGGACAAUUAUUGUAAUACCUCUUUUUAAGACAAGUCUUAUAUUUAAUGAAGUAGUGGACAAUUACAUAUCACACAUCUAUAUGUAAUGAAGUAGUAGUAGUGGACAAUUAUUUCAUCUAUAUUGUAAUAUACCUCUUUGUAAGAGAAUUCUUAUAUUUCAGCUAUUUAAGAAGUUUUGUAAUUCAGCUACUUAUAAAUGUCAAUUUAUUAAUAUCCCUGUAGAUAAUAACAAAUGUGAAAUUAUUAAAAAAAUUUAUAUUAUAAAAAAUAAAAAGCUUAUGUUCAACGUUUAACGGCAGCGGGCUUCUUAACAAGCCCGCUACGGUAAACAUUAACCGAAGCGGGCUUCUUAACACGCCCGCUGCGGUAAAUAUUUACCGCAGCGGGCGUCCUUAAGUGACCGCUACGGUUAAUAUUUACCGCAGCGGGCGUGUUAAGAAGCCCGCUGCGGUUAUCCCCGGCCUAUAAAUGCACAGACCCCCUCCUCUAAAAUUUUCUAAGUCAUUUGCGCGGUUUCCUCACCCCAAAGGGCUGCCAAAAUUUCCAAACCGCCGCCGUCCGACGCCGCCGCUUCCCCGCCCGACGCGGUUCUUCCUUCGCCGGCGCCCUCUGCGGGACCCCCUCUUGCUCUCCAACGACUGCCUCUCUCGCCCCCCUCUCCGCCGCCGUCCACCGUCUCGCUCUCCGACGACUGCUGGUCGGCCGCCGCUGCCGCAAACCCUCACCUGCGCUACGCCGUCUGCUCCGGCCGGCCGCACUCAAGCGUGAGCGUGAGCGAGCUCUGGGCCAGACUGGAGCGAUCCUAUCAGGUAUACUAGUUCAUUAUAUCUCGCCAUUCAUUUCUUCUUUUCUGCCGGUUUGUGUGAGACGAUGCUGUUUGUGCGGUCCCGGCGAGUGGAGCGGUUGGAGAGGGAUACGAGAUUUGUGUUGAUUUUUUUUCUAAAAGUUUUCUCGAUCCAUCUCGCUGAUAUUUGGCGAUCUUCCUGCCUCACUGAGCCGCGGGUAGAUAGUAGAUACCGUGGUCUUCUUGUUCAGAUACCGUAGUGAAUGAACCGAGCUGUGGCAUCUGGGACAAAAUUGAAGUUGUUUGAUGGCUCAAUGAUGUUAUAUACGCAUUUGCUACUGUAGUGUUUGCACUAAUUGAAUCUACUUCUGUGGGAGUGGUAGCUGUAGAUCAUACACAGGAUGAAUUGUGGGGGGAAACAAACGGACCUACUUUUGCUUGCAUCCUCAUUAGUUGUCUGCAACUGUGACGUAGAUCCCCCUGCAGUCAAGUAAAAAAGAAGUGAAAAGAAGGUAUCUUGGGCAAUGCACUGAGCAAGCAAUAGUUUUACACAUUUGAAGUUAUCCACAAUUUGAUGCUGACAUUUAGGAAUCAAAGUUCGCAUAAUAAAUAGGAAAAGGUGAAACGUUAACAUAGGUACCACUACAUAGCAUUAUUUCUCAGGAAAAAAAAUAUGGUUAAUGCUUGGUCCCCGAAUGGUUGAAUCCUAGUUCCAUUAAUUUGGCCCUGACUCUUAACCAUAGUAAUGUUUCCUAUUGAUCUAAAAUGUAUAGGUGCAUCAUGUAACUUUAGAGAAGCAUGUUUACAGAUAUACCACAGACAACAGUCAGUACUCAGUGAUGUUAGACCGCAUACUUUAUUACAUAUUUUUUAUUACAAUUUUGUAUCUGUUAGCUUCUGAUGUUGUGUGAUAUAGAAAUGGCGGAUGACCCAUUUCAGAAUUGGAGGGAGCCUACCCCUAGCUCAUCUUCAACUAGCUAUGCAAGUGGCACGUCUGUGACCCCACCGCAAAAGAAACGUCGAACCGAGGAAGACGUAGAUCCGACGUACAAUCCGGCGGAUGACGAAGCCCACAGUGCACAGAUCCCAGUUGUGCCUCGGGCGUUAGACUUUGGGUCCGGAGAAAAGAACAUACAUGAAGAAGGCCCCGCUCCCUCCACGACAAUCUCAGAAUCCAAGCAGAAGCGGAGGAGGGGGCAACACGGGAGGCACUAGAGGGAGUUGACUGAUGUGGUGCACGUGAUCCUUGAGGUGGGGCCAGAGGGAAACCCAGUGAGUCCGCAAGAGGUACUUGGCUGGUUCAGCAACCAAGUGUCCUGCAUAGUCAGGGAUAAGGUGUUGAUCACUUGGCCGAGCUGGCACCAAGUCUCGAAAGACGUCAAGGGCAAUGUAUGGGGUGAGGUUACCCGGAAGUUCAAUUAUCCCGAAGGCGCAGACAUGGAGAAGUGUUGUGAGUGGGCCAUGCACGUGGCUUCUUGUGCCUUUCGCAACUUCAAGUCAAUGCUGGCACGGGAGUUUCUGAAGAAGAAGAAGUCACCCUGCCAGAAAUACACUAUGGUGAAGGAGCAUGUGUGGGAAGAAUUCUACCAAAUGAGGACGACCGCUGAAGCAGAGGCAAAGAGCGCCAAGUUCAGUGCUCUGGCGAAACAAAACAAGCAUCCGAACCACUUGGGCAUGACUGGCUAUGUCGAACAUAGGGCUCGAUGGCGGGCAGAAGAACAGGCUAGACAGGCUGCUGGGAUUCUCGAUCCGUACAAAGACGUCGAUGUCAGAGCUAAGGAGUUCAUGUAUGCACGCGUUCCAAAGAAGCUAAAGCCAGGCACGACCAAGUACAACGAGCCGCAAUAUGAGGAGUUGGAGAAGGCUCUCGUCGAGGCCGCCAAAUCUAAGGACAACAUCGAGGUCCACAGGGGCCAUGACUUGCUGACCGAGGUCCUCGGAACCCCAGAGCAUCGCGGCCGUGUUCGUGGAGUCCAGUGCAAGAUGAGCUGGAAGUUGGUCGAGUCGUGGCAGGCCGACGCAUCCGCAUACAAGUCGAGGCAGAAGUACAAGGACACGUUGUAUCAGAAAGGCUUCAAAGAAGGCAUGGCCGAGGUGAUCAAACAAUCAAUAAAAGAAGCCUUCACGAGCAAUGAGCCUGAAAUGGUGGCGAUGAGGUCACAGAUGUUUCGCGAGGCUGGCCUAGCCACGGCUCCACUACAACAACCGCAAGGGCUGCCGAUGAUCGAGGGUCAACCAAGGCACUGGACCGAGGACGUCCAGAAAGACACACACAUCCAACUCCUAAUCCCGUUCGGAAGAUCCAAGAAGAUGUAUAUAGCUGAGGGAAUGCUACAUCCCAAAAGCAUAGAUUUCAGCCCAGAGGAAAUCCCAGAAGGCUAUGUGGUCGUGACCCCACUCUGGAAUGUGUCAGAGCAAGAAGAGUACGAAUUGGACCUUCCAAACAUACAACACGUUAGAUUUCUUGGGCAGGCCGUUGGUCAUGAAGUUCUGUGGAACAAGGAAGACAUUGAGAUCAUUCCACCGACACCAACUCCGACACCGACACCAGGAUCACAGCCAUCAACUGUCAGAUCACAACGAUCAGUGGCUGGAUCUUGUCCCCCAGAUGAUCCUGAUGGCAGUGGCGAUGAUGCUGAAGGCGAUGGCGAGGACAAGGGCAAAGGACAAGGUGAUGGCGAUAGCCAUGGCCAGGACAAGGAGAAGGCACAAAACAAGAACGAUGGCGAAGAUAAGGAGAAGGCACAAGUAGAUGAGGGGGACAAAGACAUGGGUGCAACCUGUGCCCCUCCUCCAAAUAGUCCGCCUUGGAGCCCAAGUAGACAACAAGAAGGAGGCACGGAGGAGGCAACAAGGACUAAGACACCACUGCCAACAUCUACUCCUAUGCUUGAAGCCCCUCCUCCACCGAGCAAGGAUGCAGGCAUGACCGCCACAGUGCUCCCGUACACUACUACAUCUGAAAGGUAUGAGACCCACAAGCAUAAUAUUCUCAUACCCUUUCUAACACAUGAAAUGGUAAUAACAUUUGUAACUAUGUUUUGCCAGGCCUACAAAUACUCUCCAGAUCAAUCUAUUUCCCGAGGCGGAAGACUGUCCUGGCCACUAUGAGCUUGGAAAGUUCAUGCUACCUAAGGCCCAGCUCAUCGACGAUGAAAAGUGGGAUACAAGGAAGUUCCACCUGUGGUAUAUGGAACCGGCAAAAGCCGGGAUGACAGGUUUCACCGUCAAGAUUCCCUCGGAGUUGUUCCAAUUGCCCGGUGCCGAUAUUCAGCUGCCUGUGGACUUCCAGGACAUGUACAAUCUAUUGCGGGAGGAAGACCUUGACAUCGUCCAAAUCACUUUAUUCUCUCUGUAAGUGAUGAUUGCAACCUUCAUAGACCAAUCUCUACACUUGUAUUGGAGAACUAUAUGAUUUUUAGGACACGAUGACUUGUCCGUGCAGGUUGACGGCCACUAUUAGCAACAAAAGGCACCAUCCUAUCCUAUACCUCUCUCCAAUGCAUAUUGCUGAGAGAGUGAUCAAGGGUUUCCAGAUAACAGACCUAGAGUUGACCGUGCGGCAGAGGGAAAAGAAGUACGAAGAAAACAUGAAAGAGGAGAAGAAGAAACUGUCAAGGUACAUCUUUGAAGUAAUGAAGAAGCUCAACCCAGAUGGGCCGCAUUGUAUUAUGGCUGCCUAUCACUUUGGGUAAGUCAAAAACAUCCAUGUAGAGCAAAAGUUAGGGUCAUGCCUUCUCGUUGACAUAACCUAUACUUGUUUCAAUGGUGUAGAAAUGACCUAGCCGGCGGCCACUGGGUUGCCUUCCUCGUCUAUCCUCAAGAUGGCCGGGCUGUCAUAUUUGACUCAUUAUAGGUAGCAAACAAAAAGGGGUACAAGGCCUUCGAAGACUACUUGAAAAAGUAAGCCACCGAGCUUCUUGAUCCUUUACGGUUAUCGAUCAUAUUCAAAUUGACGCUAACACUAAUACACUUUGUACAGCGCUUAUAGUGCAUAUCUCAAGGAUCCGCAAUGCUGGGAUCGGAGAACGGAGAAAUUCAAGAAGAGGCAUAAGCACCACCUCAAAAUCCGACGCGAUUUCCCCGUAAGUAUAUUUUAAAGGUAGUUCAAUCAUGCUUUUGGUAUAUAUGUGCUCUAAUGCUUUUGUAUUGAUCGUGCAGUGCGCCAAACAACCCUUGGGAUCAAAGGCAUGUGGCUUGUACACCUGCGAGAACCUAAGGGAAAGCUAGGAGUACACCAACAGCUGGAAGAAGCUCAAAGAAGCAGUGAAGAAUCGUGGAGAGACGAUGAAGAAUGAACGCCAAGCUUUUAAGCAAAUCAAGGCAGACAUCUGUAAGUUCAUCAUAGAGAAAUGCGUGCUCGAAGGCGAACCAUUCUUCGACAAUGAAGGUGAAUUGGCAAUUCGACCAGAGUUCGAGAAGCUUAGUGGAUGGGACACCAUGCUACAGCCGACGGAUUACACCCACCCAGUAGAAUUGUGAUGUGUAGCGGAUUCGUGGGUUUCAUGUGUAUAUGUGGAUAUGAUGAGAACAACUAAGUGGAUUUAUAUAUUAUGUUGUGUCUUAUGAAUUGAACUGCUAGGCAUAUGUGUGUGUCUAUAUAUAUCUUCUGUUUCUGAAAUGAAAUCUAGAUUCUGGAAUUUGCAAAUUGUUUAAAUACAUAUGCAGCAAUGGUUCUGCAAAAGUGUUUUUUUUUAAAAAAAACACUUAACCGUGGCGGGCAACAUAAGGCGACCGCUACGGUUAAUAUCAAUAUCCGUAGCGGGCAACAUAAAACGCCCGCUGCGGUUAAUCUAUUAACCGUAGCGGUCGUGUUCGCCCGCCACAGAAGUGGCCACGAUUUACCGUGGCCUUAUGGCCGUGGCAGACACGUUUGCCCGCUGCUGAAAAGGGAAAACGCCCGCCACGGUUAUUCUUUCUGCAGUAGUGCAUGAAUGAGCCAUGUGUCCCCUUUUCCAGCAUAAGUAGCAACUUCUCUUUGAUUGAGCCUUUUCUUCCUUGCUCAUAUGUUGCUUCUCAUUGUCUUGCCUCUCAUGAGUUGCUUGAGCCUUCUUCUCAAGCUUGGUAGAACACUUCGAGGCAAAGUGUCCCUCCUUCUUGCACUCAAAACACAUGAUGUGGGUGAGGUCUUUUGAUGAUCUUGAUUUUCUACCUCCCCUUCUUGUCUUCUUCUUCAUCAUCCCUAUGUCACCACCAUCUUUAUGGUAGAUCUUGACUUGAGCUUGGGGUGUCUUUUCUUGCUCAACUUGUGGUUUGGUUGAGGCUUUACUUGUUGCUUCACCAAUUGCUUGGUUGGGCACAUUGAGGUGAGGUGACCCCAAGUGCAGCACUUGAAGCACUUGACAUGCUUGAGCCUCUCUUCUUCUUUCAUCUUCUUGAGCUUCUCAAUGUUUGGGCAACCAUUAGUAAGAUGUCCCAUUUCAUGGCACCGAUAGCACAUGAAAUAAGAGAGCUUCUCUCUUUCUUGUUUCUUCAUCUUCCUAUCUUGUUUUCUUUUGCCCUUUGUUAUUUUCUUCUUGAAGCCAAGGCCACACUUGUCACCAUAGUUUCUUUGAGUCUUCAGUAUGUCAAAGGUGACUUUUGAGUUGUAGCACCUCUCUAACUUGCUGCUCAAAUUCUUCACUUCAUUUUUGAGCUCGUGGUUCUCCUUCAAAAGGUUAGUCUCACAAGACAUAGAAGUAGAACAAACAUCUAUAUGUGAAGAACAUGGCAUAUCUAAAAUCGUCACAAGAGGUGGAUAGAUGCUUCUUGCCUACAUCACAAGGGUUCUCACGUGAACAAGUAGUAACAUAAAGUAGAUGUUUUUGUUGUUCACAAGUGGUCUUUAGAAAAGUGUUUUCAUUUUCUAGUUUACUUGUUUUUACUAACUCAUUUCUUAAAGCUUUUGAGUCUAUAUAUAAGCUCAAAAAUUGGAUCAUCACAAUCAACAAUUACACCACAGAUAGACACCUUAGUGUCACCAUGUGACAUGAAGCAAUGUGGUGAUGUAGCGGAUGAGCUUGUAGAAGCAUCACUCUCAUAUCCAUCAUCUUCAUCAUCAAGUGUGCAUGGAGUAGCAUCAUUGGUUGCAUCACUUGUGGCAUCAUCAUUGUCCUUGUCAAGUGAUCUUGUGGUAGCAUCAUCAUCACCAUCACUUGACCAUGAGGUGGAGCAAUCCUCCACAACCACCAUGUUGUGGUCAUGCUCAACAUCCUCAUUUGCGUCAACCUUUGGCACAUCAUCUUCUUUGGAUAUCACUUCAUAUUUCUCAUUGUGACAUACCCAAAUCUCAUGGGCGGACUAUAUAUCCAUGAUCUCACCAAAUAUAUUAUCUUUCAUGGAUGAAUAGAAGAUGUUAGUAGCUUGGCAAUUGAGAUGAAGGCAUUUCUUUUGCGCUUGAGUUGCAACCUUUUUAUCAAUUGCACAAGAAAAGACCACAUCUACAAUCCACCACAUUUGAGGAGAAAUAAAUUUAAAAUUUCAUAUCAUCCAAUUUCUCCAUUGUGCCAUAAAAAAUAAGUGGACACUCAACAUCUAGCCCAUAAGUCACCAUCCUCUCGGGUCGGUGAAGACCACAAAUGAAAGACCUCAGCUCUGGUACCACUUGAAGGGUCAAGAUGGUGGACUAGAGGGGGGGGUGAAUAGUCCUUUCUAAAACUUAUUACGCUGGCUAACCGAAAUAAAUGUGGAAUUAAAACUAUCAGUCUAGCCAAGACUACACCCCUCUAUCUAAGUUCUCUAGCACCUUGUAAAAGAUCCUAAACAAGCAAACAAGGUUCUACAUUAGCAAGAGCUCACCUAAUCAAUUCUAGGAGCAAGGUCACAAAAACCUAUGCCACUAGUACUUUGCAAAGCCCGAAGCUCCUACUCAAGUAGUAAGCAACAGCACAAAGCUCCUAAGCUCACUAGCAAUGCUUAAUAACAAGGCAACCAAUGCCAAAUUAGAUAGCGCAAAUUACUUAGCUACACAAACUAAGCAAUGUAACUAACAUGGUUACACAAACAAAAUUGGUCACGCAAGGGGAUCUAUUUCUAGCUACACAAGCAAGAAGAUAACUAGUAAGCUACACAAGCUAAACUAGUUACAAGAGCAACUACACAAGCAUAAGUAUGUGAAUGUAAAUACAAGCUUGUGUUAGGGACUUGCAAACCAACAGGAAGGACAAUGUUGACACAAUGAUUUUCUCCCGAGGUUCACUUGGUUGCCACCAAGCUACGUCCCCAUUGAGACAAGCUCCAAGGUUGCCGCCGGUCUUCUUGCUAGUGGUGACCUGCAAGUCACACUCUCCACGUGGAGUGCUUACCACAAGCUCUAGCACAUGACCUGGCUGGACCACUUGUCACUCUUCGCAUCUCGCUCUACUAGAGUUGCUCUUCAUGAUCCCCGAGGGGUGAGCAUCGUACCCCUCACAAAUCCUCCUUUAGAGCACCACACAAUCUUCUCGCGUGCUUCAAACGGAGUCACAAUCCACCAAACCAUCUAGGUGAUGGCAAUCACCAAGAGUAACAAGAAAUCUCCAAUCACAAAGAUUUCCUAGUGCCACCAAAUUCAAAUCCCGAAUGCACACACUAGGCUCUCACUCCCUCACUCAAAAAAUAGCACCAAGCAUGAGAGAGAGAGGAAGGUGAAAUGGUGGAUCUUCAACCUCUCAUCCACACCCACAAAGGGCUCUCAAUCUCUCCAAGAAAUUUCAGCUCAAAUCCAUGGGAGAGAGAGAGAGGAGAGGAGGAACCCUAACUUGCUUGCUCUCCAAAAAUGUGAGAGAUAUGGAAAGAAGUUCUUCUGUUCUGGUUCAAGAGAGGGCAACUGGAGGGGUGCGUGCAGCUAAAAAGGCCACGCGCGGCUUCUGACCGUUGGAGAGAAAAGCAUAUCUCAGUUGUAUAAGAAUUUCUCAUAUAGAAACGAGAAUUGCUUUGGUGGGUUUGGUUGCAUGCGCAGCAGGGUGCGGAACACACACAAACCAGCCAUAUAAGAAUUUCUCGUUCACAAGAGAGAAUUGCCGAGAAGGGGUCUCUGUCUUGACAAAAUAGAUAUGAGAAUUUCUCAUUCACAAGAGAGAAUUGCCGAGAAGGGGUCUCUAUCUAGAAAAAAUAGAUAUGAGAAAUUCUCGUUCACAAGAGAGAAUUGCUGACAUGGGGUCUCUGCCUAGACAAAAUAGAUAUGAGAAUUUGUCAUACAGAAAUGAGAAAUGCCAGGAUGAUCAAUUUGAGCACCUCUUAAAAUAGCUAACUUCACCAAAAUAUUCCAAAAUAAAUUGGACACUUAAGGCCUCGUUCGUUUGCUCUGAAUUCAAUACCGGAGCAGAUUUGUUCCAGCCCAGGAAUGAGUGGAUACCUGCCUGUCACUCAUUCCCUGUCUGUAUGUAUUCCGUGUCUUUAUUUAUUCCUUGUUUCAACCAUCUGCUGUUCGGUUUGCUAGGAUCCAAAACAGGUAUUACAUGGGACACUAACAGCGGAUACUAGUUUUGGAUACGUGAUUGUUUUGGAGUGCUGCAAACACAUCUCAUGAAAUACAUUGAAAAUACAUUACACAGCAAAAACAUGCUCUCACACAUUGCAGCAAAAUAAAAUAAAUAAAUCUUGAAUGUUUUGGAGUUCUUUAUCUGCAAGUCUCUCAUCAUGCAUGUAGAGAUAAUGGGCAGCAAAGAGUAUCACAGAUAAUGUGCAACCACAUAAAAAGACAUGCUAGCUACUACCAAAAUUGGCAAAAGGUGCACCAAAAGGUUGUCAUGAUCCAUUUAUCAAAAUUACAAUAUUUCAAAUCCAAAGCAUAAUUUAACUAGUAGAUAACUCAUCUAGGCCUACUCAUGUGUCCAGACACUUUGUCCAAUCCAAUGUUUCUUGAUCAUUGCCUCCUCCCUCAAAAUAACAGCAAGCAUUCUUUUACAAAUUAUUGAAUAAUUGAACAAAACUGACUCACGUUGUAAUCAACCAAAGCAUAAUGGUUUUUCUCCCUUAGUUACACUAUUACUCAUAAGAAUUAGGAACGCGAGGGAUAUGCCAACAACUUUUGGAUAGCAUAUAUGAAGUAACUUUAAUACUGUAGUCACUACUACUUAUCACUAACUUGCUUCCAUAACAACAAUGUUACCGGUUUGUUAGUAACCAAAUAACAAAUCGUGCUCGAAUUAGUCACUAAUUGAAGUCAGUAACAAAUUAACCGAUGAAGCCACACACACUCCCCAAAAAUUGUUGUCCACACACACUCCCCAAAAUUGAAGUCAGUAAGAAUUAGACCACACACACUCCCCAAAAUUGAACUGAAGCCACACACUACCCAAUCGCACCCAAAUUCGCCCACAAAUCACAUCAUCCAAUUUCUCCUCCAUAGUGAUCCUAGUAUCAACAAAGAAGGAAAACAUCAAGUUUUUAGCAAUUAAGUAGACUGACUUGUCAGACUAUCGCACUUCUAAGCCAAACCAAAGUUGCUUCUUGAUCUAGUUCACACCCACUUAGGAAGGCCUCUCUAUUAUCUUUGCUUUUGAUGAAAACAGCAAAUACCUUUGCUUUUUCUUACUUUAUCACUUCCAUCAUGCUUAGAACAGAUAUACACCUUUUGGUAGAGAAGUCAUUACCUUGAGCAAAUUCAUUUUCUUUGGCUAGAUCCUCCUUUUCUUUGGCUAGCUCUGCAGACUCAUUUUGUACUUGCUUAGUCCUCAUGUCUAGGUAUCUCCCAAUCAUUUCUUCAAUCCUUUCACCCUUGUUCUUAGGCCUCUUUAUUUGCUUCUCAUGUUUUUUGCUUGAUGUAGUAGUAGUAGUAGUAGUAGUAGUAGUAGUAGUAGUAGUAGUAGUAGUAGUAGUAGUAGUAGUAGUAGUAGUAGUAGUAGUAGUAGUAGUAGUUCUUUGUUGCCUGCUUCAUUCAACAUCUAUGAUCUCAUUUCCCCCCCAUCAUUUCUUUCAUCAGCAGUCUCACUUAUUUGCAUCUUAGUGACUAAAUCAUUGUCAUCUAGUAGCUCAUGGACCUCAUUGUUGUCCAAGUCAUGUACAUCAUGAAUUUGUAGAAUUGGUGCUUCCUCUUGUGGUGGCUCAUGGGAAGUGAUAUUGUACGUACCUUCAGCCAAAUGACCUACACGAUAACUUUUAGGUUAGUUCAUCAAGCUAUAUUUUUUAAUUCAGGCAAUCUUAUCAUCUAGAUGUCUCAAAUUAGCAAGAUACUCUGGUAACUUAAUUCUACAUCAUGACAGCACAAAUGAGAAGAACAUGGAUGUAGAGUUACUGUUUUGACAUCUAUACUUGAUCAAACACUACCAGACAAGUCAAGUGAAUCACAUGAUAAUAUAGAGCAGCAAGAUAUAAACAAAUAUAGAAAGUGAACCUACCAUCAUAAAGCUCUCCCAAAGCAUCAAAUAAUGGAAAUCUUGCCUUACUGUUGUGGAAUUUCUUGAUUUAGGGUAUGUCUGCACAUUCAAAGAGAACCACUGAUCAAAUAUGAGGUUAUCACUAUGAGGAUAUCCAUAGAAUUACUUCAAGAAAUCAACAUACCACUUCGAGGUUAGCCCACAGAGCUGGUGUUCCUUCAACCAUAUGUCUAUCUUCAUUCUAGGUGGCCCCACUCUGCUGCCUUCCCUCUCUUAGCAUCCUAUAGUCUUUCUUUAGUUGCACUUCUUUGUCUUGAAUCUGACUCUUUGUGUAAUUGACAUACUUGUUCUUCAGAUGGAACUCCUUCACCAUCUUAUUCCACCCUUCUGAGCUCCAACCAUUGUCACCUUUGUAGCCACUAUCUUUAUACUCAUGAAGAAUGUCUACCAGGGACUUCUCAAGGGCCGGAUUCCACUCUGCUCUUUGCUUUACUACUACAUAAACAAUGGUUAGACAUCAGGUUACCAACAAUCAGCAAAUAGAAAUAACAGUUUACAGCAAAGAAACAACAAAAUCACUUUAAAGGUUACAGGUUUACUAAAACUGCUAUAAUAGCAGAUGGUGGAAUAAACUAUGCAGCAGAUAAUUACUUCAAGAAACUUCUUUUUAGUAACAAAUAACAGUAGAGAAAUAACAGAGAUAUAAUAACAUAAAGGUUACAGGUUUACUAAAACUGCUAUAAUAGCAAUAGAAGGUCGUUGGCUGGCUCAUAUGUACACAUGUAGUACUAUACCUGCAAGCCGAGAUAUGAUGGUGGCGCCAACGACUAACCGAUCCCCUUGACGACGAUACAGCAACCAAACAGUACAUCACAGGUUCUUCAAGUUCAUUUGCAGAAUGUGCACAGACCAGGACAAGCACAUUCCAAGUUCCAGAUCCUAGCAAACACCUCCGACCUCCAUUCCAACUUUCCAAGAGAGCGAGAUAGGAGUACUCUCAGGGCCAUUCCAGUGACACGGUUUUUUUUUUUGACAACACCAGCGACACCGUUAGACCAGGGUGAAACCCAAGCAGUAAAAAAACUAGUACACAAUGUACUUUUUCUAAUGAUCGUAUACCUCAACUACACAAGAUAACAGUACUCUUUUAUAGCAAACUAGCCAUGCCAGAACAAUAUUCAGAGUCGACGACCAAACACAGAAUCAACUGCAUUCAGAUCGUACACAAUCGCAUGCUGAGCACAGAGCAACACAGAAUCAGCAUUACAUAGCUUGGAGAGAUGCAAACAAGAGAGCACGAAUUGAGAUCAGCAAUUAAUACCAUCAUCUAUUUAGAUCUGAGACUUAAAACAGGCAUCUAUUGAGAUCUGAGAUUGUUAAAACAGAGGCAUCAUAGAUGCUCGUGGGUAAGUACAGACUGCAGGCUAAACAUCCCAUGCCAUUCCAACAAGCGAACACACUAUCAGCUAAACUGCAUCACUUCAGGGACGGACAACACUUGCGACUACCAACUCAGAGAACGAGCGGCCACUACUACUAGUCUACUGCAUCUAGAAAGACAGACAGACAGCUUCCACAGGAUAAAAGGAGCAGCAAAAGCCCGGUUAGGCCCACGACGAUGAGAAUUUCCAUUGGGUAUUUGAAGAGAGGGAGGUCCGUCUCAGGUAGGUACUGGUACCCAAAUAUUCCAAAUACUCCGGAUCCAAGACAAGACGCGUAAGAACCAAAUCAAGAACCCAAAAAUACAUGUCCAGAUGAAGGAGAGAGAAGGGGGAGCAAGGGGAUCACCGGCGAGAAGCAGGAAGGGGAAGGAUGUAGGGUCGCCGUCGCCAUGCGCCACGCCGCGGUCGCCUCGCAUUGCCCCACGGUUGCCUCGCGUUGCCCCGCCGUCGCCUCUGCUCAAGUUAGAGUCAUCGCUGCUCGAGUUAGAGCCAUCGCCUCCGGACUCCGGAGGGUUUCGUUCCGGAGGUAGGAUGGUCCGGUUUUGUUCCUGGCCAUGGACACAAGGAUAUGUGAAGCCCGUUUUCGUUGUGGUCCAGUUUUGUUUCCAGACCGGUGUAAGGUCCAAAUGGCUAGAGGGGGGUGAAUAGCCUAUUUAAAAUUUCUACAAACUUCACUAAACAAGUGAGUUAGUAAAACAAAUGGCGAAGCAAUUCUAGCACUAGCUCAACUAAGCUAUGCAAGCCACCUAUACAAAACUAGUACAAGACUAAACACUAAAGCACAACAACAAGAGAAGGCUAGUUAUACUUCUAAACAAGAAGACUAAACUAAACAAGCUAAACAACUAGCAAGGUAUACAAGUAAGUAAGGAGUGGAGAGUGAUUGUUAUACCAACGUUGUAGAGUAGAGAUAUAUCCAAUCAAUCACUCACAAUCACAAGAGAAUCCUCGGCAAGAGAUGACACAAGAUUUUUUACCGAGGUUCACUUGCUUCCCGGCAAGCUAGUCCUCGUUGUGGCGAUACACCCACUUGAUGGAUCACAAGCUAAUUGGCAAUCCAAAGCGAAACCCUCAGCGGGUGCCGCACAUCCACUCACAAGAUGGGGAUCCUCCAAGCCACGAGCAAUCCACUAGAGUAGCCAAUUGCGAUCUCCCGCGGGGAAGGCUCAAGAACCCCUCACAAAACACUUGGUGAGGCUCGAAACAAUCUCCAAUCACGAGCUCAACACCACCGCUGCUCCAAGCCGUCUAGGGCAUCGGGAAACACCCAAGAGUAACAAGAAAUUCGCAGCAAACUCAAGAAUCAAGUGCCACUAAAUGCAACUCUCAAAGCAAUGCACUUGAAUCUCACUCAAUCUCACUAGGAUUAGCAAACAAGCAAGGAGAUGAGUGGAGGGAGUGUUCUCUAGCUCAAUGUAUGUCUCAAGUAAUCAAAUGUGCAAGAGAGAGCCUCCCAAAGUCGGCCACCAACUAUUUAUAAGCCCCUCAAUGAAACUAGCCGUUGGCCACUUUCACUGGGCUGAAAACGGGGCACCGGACGCUACUAAGUGAGCACCGGACGCUCGACCUCCUGUGUCCAGUGCACUAGAGUUGGCCACGUGUCGAUCUUGAAUCUCGCGCGUCAGUUUCUAACGGUCACCUGCGGAUCACCGGACGUUCUGCAGGUCCACACCGGACGCGUCCGGUGCCCACCGGACUCAUGCACAGAGAGUUUGUCAAACUCGCGAUCUCACCGGACGCUGGGCACCGGACGGUCCGGUGCUCACCGGACUCGUGCGUAGAGAGAGUGUCAAACUCGCGACCUCACCGGACGCUGGGCACCGGACGGUCCGGUGCUCACCGGACUCGUGCGCAGAGAGGGUUGCAAAAACUCCUCACACCGGACGCUAACCACCGGACGCUCAACCCUAGCAGGGUCAAGCACACCGGACGCUGAGGCCAGCGUCCGGUGCCUCCGCACUCAGCGUCCGAUGAGUGUUUCUUAGUGAGAAAACACUCCCGCGACUUCUCUAAAUUUCCCACCGGCGCAAUAGAAAAUAUACACUUAUUUUUCUCAAAAGCGCCGAAUCCACACUAGGAACCCACACCCCUCUCAACCCUAGGAACUCCACCUCCUUCGAAAAUGUGCCAACACCAACAAGUGUCCACCACCAAAGUGCAAGUGUGUUAGCUUUUCACAAACAUUUUCACCAAAGGAGUUAAGUUAGCACUUUACUAGAUCCUAAUGCAUAUGCUCAAGAUAUGGACCUAGUAGCACUUGAUUCGAGAGAUGACCGUGAUUUCCCCUCUUGAUAGUCGGCUAUCUAUCCUAAACCCGGUCAAUUACUUCUCUACUCAUCUUAGACCGGCAAAAGUAAAACCCUAUGUUUAUACCUUUGCCUUGAACACUUUGCUCCUCGUCUAUCACCAUGAUCUUCACUUUAUGCUUCAUCCCUUUGUGAUCAUGUCGCCACCUUUCCAUGCCACCAUGCACCUUCAUCACAUGUGUUGCUAUGCCUAAUUCAAAUCACUUAAACACAAGGCAUUAGCAACUUGGUGUCAUUAAUUACCAAAACCAAACUUGGGCUUUCAAUCUCUCCCUUUUUGGUAAUUGAUGACAACCAUCACAAAGAUAUGAAAUGAAAUCAUAAUGAACUUGAAUUGCUUGUCCAAAGCAUUUGAAUCAUGAGAUAAAGUUGGACAAACAUUUGAAUUUCGGUUUUGGUAGUACUAGCUCCCCCUACAUAUGUGCUUCCAAGAGUUUGGUUCAAAUUUGCACAUAUGCAUGAAUUAGAGUUUUGGGAGAUUUAUUACUACCAAAAGAUGCUAAGGUAUAUAGAAUGGACCUUUGAAGCGUGAUACCAAUCGGAGUUGCCAAAAUACCAUCCUUAGCACCAAUGUAGCUAGACAUACAUCAAAAACUCAAGAUACCUCAUGAGAUCACAUUAUAUGUCUAGAUACCACAUAAAAAUAAAACUCUAUGCUAGAAUUCAAAGCAUCAUUCAAGUUCUAUUUCUAGCAAGUACCAAUCAAACUAGAGUUGUGAAUUUAAACUUGCAAUGCAGCAACUCAUUAUGUUAGUGCACAUACAAAUGCAACAAAUGGUUCAUGAGCUUGCUCCCCCUAUUUGUGUGCUCAAGUUUAAAGGUGUUUUCUCUCCCUAUCUUUGUUUCUCUUCCCCUUUUUGACUUUAUCUUUGUUUCUCUCCCCUUUGUCAUCAAUGACCACAAAGGUUCAAAUUUUAGUGAGAAUUAAGUCAAUCAAUGUGAGGGUCAAAUUAUGGUUCAAUCUAGAUCACUUGCCUAAAACAUGUAAUUUGGUUUGAUCCAAGGACAAGCUUUUUCACACCUCAUGAAGUAUAAGGGUUAUCUUGACCAUGUUGAAUUACACAUCAUAAGCUCAUAUUCUAGAUUCAACACUAGGCUCACAAACAUGUCAUAUGCUACCACUAGAUCAAUCAAUCAUAGAAGCAAUAGUGGUACCAUACAUACAUCAAAUCCUUUUGAUUUUCAUGAAUGAGCCUAUUUGUCAUGCAAACAUGUCUAUAUGUUCUAUCAUGUCCUUAGCAAAGUAUGAAUGCUAUGUCAAUCAACUUUACCUUGAUUUGUUGGAGGAGAGGCAUGUCAUAUAUAAAUGUGGGGGUGCACUCAUCUCAAGUUGGAGAAGUCAAGUAUGUUCAAUUCAUUCCUCAACUUGCAAAAUCUCUUCUCAUCAAGUGGCUUUGUGAAGAUGUCGGCUAGUUGAUCUUCGGUGCCAAUGCUUUCAAUGCUAAUAUCACCCUUUUGUUGAUGGUCCCUUAUGAAAUGGUGCCUUAUGUCAAUGUGCUUGGUUCUUGAAUGUUGAACCGGAUUUUGUGUCAUCUUGAUUGCACUCUCAUUGUCACAUAGCAAAGGCACAUUCUUGAAUUUGAUUCCAAAGUCAUUCAAGGUAGCUUUCAUCCAAAGCAAUUGUGCACAACAACUACCGACACUAAUGUAUUCGGCCUCGGCGGUUGACAGUGCAACACUAUUUUGUUUCUUUGAUGACCAUGAAACUAGAGACCUUCCUAGCAAUUGACAAGUGCAACUUGUGCUCAUUCUAUCAAUCUUGCAUCCACCAUAGUCGGAGUCCGAAUAUCCAAUCAAUUCAAAGUUAGACCCCUUGGGAUACCAUAAUCCAACAUCAUGAGUGCCCUUAAGAUACCUCAAUAUCCUUUUGGUUGCCUUCAAGUGACUCUCCCUUGGUGAAGCUUGAUAUCUUGCACACUUGCACACACUAAACAUCACAUCUGGCCUUGAUGCGGUGACAUAGAGCAAACUUCCAAUCAUGGACCGAUAUAGCUUUUGAUCUACCAUGUUUCCACUUGCAUCACUACCUAAUUGAUCAUUGUGCCCAUAGGUGUGCUCAUUUGUUUAGCUUCUUGCAACCCAAACUUCUUGAUCAUGUCCUUGAUAUGCUUUCCUUGACUUACAAAAGUGCCAUCCUUCAUUUGCUUGAUUUGAAGUCCAAGGAAGUAACUAAGCUCUCCAAUCAUGGACAUCUCAAACUCAUUUGCCAUCAUUUUCCCAAACUCUUCACAAAAGUCUUGAUUGGUUGAUCCAAGGAUGAUAUCAUCAACAUAGAUUUGCAACACAAACAAGUCAUUGCCUAGCUUCUUGGUGAAGAGGGUAGUGUCAACCUUUCCCAUCUUGAACCCUUUAGAGAGAAGAAAAUCUCUCAAUCUCUCAUACCAUGCUCUAGGUGCUUGCUUCAAACCGUACAAUGCCUUCUUGAGCUUGUACACAUGGUUGGGUUUCUUGUCAUCUUCAAAACCGGGAGGUUGUUCAACAUAAACCAACUCAUUGAUGUAUCCAUUGAGAAAUGCACUCUUCACAUCCAUUUGAUAGAGCUUGAUGUUGUGGGCACAAGCAUAGGCUAAUAAUAUUCUAAUUGCCUCCAAUGUUGCAACCGGUGCAUAUGUUUCUCCAAAGUCAAGACCUUCAACUUGAGUGUAGCCUUGUGCUACUAAUCUUUCUUUGUUUCUCACAACUACACCAUCUUGAUCUUGCUUGUUUCUAAAGACCCACUUGGUACCAAUCACAUUGUAGUUCUUAGGCCUCUCAACAAGUUCCCACACUUGAUUUCUUGUGAAGUUGUUCAAUUCUUCAUGCAUGGCAUUUACCCAAUCGGAAUCUCUCAGUGCAUCUUCUAUUCUCUUUGGUUCUUCAAAUGAGACAAAUGAAUAGUGCUCACAAAAGGAUGCUAGCCUUGAUCUUGUUUGCACACCACUUUGAAUACCACCAAUGACUUGAUCCAAUGGAUGAUCUCUUGCUAUGCUUGUAGAUUGGAGUAUUGGGAGUUGAUUGCUUCCACUAGCUUGAUUUUGAUCUUGAUCAUCAUCAUGAGAGCCACUAGUAUUUGCUUGAUUUGUAUCAAUUUGCACUUCUUGAUUGAUCAUGUGAAUAUCACUAUCAUCAUCAACUUGCAUUGGCCUUAUAUCACCAACAUCCAUGUUUUUCAUUGCAUUUGCCAAUUGAUCUCCCCUCACAUCAUCAAGAUUUUGAACUUCACUUUGAGAUCCCUCGGUUUCAUCAAACUCAACAUCAUGGACUUCUUCCAAUGUGUCACUUGCCAAGUUCCAAACUCUAUAUGCCUUGCUUGUGGUGGAAUAACCAAGUAAGAACCCUUCAUCACAUUUCUUCUCAAACUUGCUCAAUCUAGUGCCUUUCUUGAGAAUGUAGCAUUUGCAACCAAACACUCUAAAGUAUGCAAUGUUGGGCUUUCUUCCAUUCAAUAGCUCAUAUGGUGUCUUCCCAAGCUUCCCAUGGCAAUGGAGACGGUUGCUACAAUAGCAAGCCGUGUUGAUAGCUUCACUCCAAAAUGAAUGGCUAACAUUGUAUUCACUAAGCAUUGAUCUAGCCAUAUCAAUCAAGGUUCUAUUCUUCCUUUCAACUACACCAUUGGAUUGAGGAGUGUAUGUUGGAGAAAAUUGAUGUCCAAUGCCAAGAUCACCACACAAUUCCUCAAUUCUUGUGUUCUUGAAUUCACUACCAUUGUCACUUCUAAUCUUCUUGAUAGUGGUUUCAAACUCAUUUUGCACCCUCUUGACAAAAGACUUGAAUAGAUCACAAACAUCACUCUUGUCAUAGAGGAAGAACACCCAAGUGUAUCUAGUGUAGUCAUCUACUAUCACAAAUCCAUACUUGUUGCCACCAAUGCUAGUAUAUGUUGUUGGCCCAAAUAAAUCCAUGUGCAAUAGCUCAAAUGCCUUUGAUGUGCUCAUUUCACUUUUCUUGGGAUGUGCAUUUCCAACUUGCUUUCCGGCUUGACAAGCACUACAUGGUUUAUCCUUCUCAAAGGUGACAUCCUUCAGGCCUCUAACUAAGUCAUUCCUCAAUAGUUUGUUCAAUUAUUUCAUUCCAACAUGACCAAGCCUUCUAUGGCACAACCAACCCAAACUUGAUUUGCUAAUUAGGCAUGAUGUCAAUUGAGUGUCACUAUCAUUGAAAUCAACCAAGUAUAAGCUACCAUGCCUAAAUCCUUUGAAUAUCGAGUUUGAUCCAUCAACACUAACCACCUCAACAUCAUCACUACCAAAGAUGCACUUGAAACCAAGGUCACAAAGUUGUGCAAUUGACAAGAGAUUGAAAUCAAGGCUCUCGACUAGCAACACAUUUGAUAUGCUCAUGUCAUUUGAGAUAGCAAUUUUACCAAGCCCCUUGACCUUGCCUUUCUUAUUGUUGCCGAAGGUAAUUGAAUCAAAGCCACCAUUUUGACUAGUAUCAAUUGAUUUGAACAUACAAGACUCCCCGGUCAUAUGUUGAGUGCACCCACUAUCAAGCACCCAAUGCCUUCCUCCGGCUUUGUAAUUGACCUACAAGACAAGAUCAAUUCUUUUUAGGUACCCAAACUUGAUUGGGUCCUCCAAGCUUAGCAACUAAGCUCUUUGGUACCCAUAUGGCUUUCUUCUUUGAGCCCAUCCAUGGUGCAUCAAUGAACUUAGCAUGAACACCUUUUGUAUCCUUGGUAAGUACAUAGAAAGAAUUAAGCUUAAUUGAGGAUACAUUAGCUUUGGGUUUCUUGUUCAUGCAUUGUUGCUCUAGGUGACCAACUUGCUUGCAGGCUUUGCAAUACCGGCCAUUGUUCUUCACAAAACUAGUCUUGUGAGGAGCAAAGGCGGCUUUGCCCUUCUUGGGGUUAUAGCCCAAUCCCUCUUUGUAUAGAGAAGCUCUUUGGCUACCCAAGCACAUAAGCAAGCGGUCCUCACCACCAUAAGCCUUGGCUAUGGUGUGAUUGAGCUCCUUCACCUCCUUUUUGAGAAUUUCAUUCUCAACUUUUAGUGUGGUGUCACAUGUGAAACCAUCACUACUAGAUGAGGAUGAUGUAGAUGUGCUACAUGAAGGGUUAGUAGAAGCAAUAACAAUAGGCUUACUCAAGAUAUCACAUGUUAUGCCUAUGUUGCAAGUUUGAGCUUUUUCAAUUUUAGUUGGCUCAUUUUUACACUUGUUAACUAGAGAGGAAUGAGCUUCUUCAAGCUUAGUGUGAGCCUUUUGAAGCUUCUUAUGGUCUUCCUUUAGACUCUCAUAAGAUGCUCUAAGCUCAUCAAGUUCUUGCUCAAGGGUUUUCUUAUCCUUAAGCAAGGCCUUGCACUCCUUUCUAGUUUCUUUAUAGUGAUGAGUGCAAUCUUCUAGCAUAGUGAUUAGUUCAUCUUUAGUUGGUUCAUCAUCAUCACUAUCACUAUCACUAUCAUGGUCACUCUCAUCAUCGGAUGAUACCUUAGUGGCCUUAGCCAUGAAGCAUGACGGAGUAUCGAAGAUGGAGCUUUUUCCUUGAAUUGCAAUGCUAGCAUGCGCCUUCUUCUUGGUGCUCUCAUCAUCACUUGAGGAGUCAUCACUAUCCCAAGUUGCAACAUGGGUGUCACCCUUCUUCUUGUUUGAGCCUUCCUUCUUUUCUUGCUUCUUCUUUUGCUUCUUUCUUUCCUUCUUGAUAGCAUCUUCAUUAUCACUAUCAUAAGGACACUUGGCGAUGAGAUGAUCCUUGCUAUGGCAUCUAAAGCACCUCAUGGAGUGGUCAUUCUUCUUGGAGGAGCUCUUCUUCCUUCUUGCCCGAUAGCCCUUCUUCUUCAUAAACUUGCCAAAUCUCUUGACAAGAAGAGCCAUCUCCUCAUCUUUAUCACUAUCACAAGAGCUUUCUUCUUCUUCACUUGAUGAUUAUUGCUUGGCUUUGCCCUUGGAUGUGGAGGCCUUGAAUGCCACACUUUUCUUCUUCUCAUCAUCUUUCUUCUCACCAUCCUUCUUCUUCUUCUUGAUCAACUCAUCCUUCUCAUCAUCUUCUCUAUAGGCAUCAUCGGUCAUCACCUCUUGAAAGACUUGUUGGGGAGUUGAUUCACUAAGUGUUGUCUUGACUAGCACGGUGAUCAAUGUGUCAAAUCUCUUGGGCAAGCUGCUCAAGAACUUCAUAGAGAAUUGACUAUCCUUCACUUCUUCCCCUAGUGCCUUGAGCUCAUUCACAAUGACUUGCAACCGGUAAAACAUCUCCGGCACACUUUCAUCUUCUUGCAUCUUGAAGCUUGAGAACUUUUCUUGGAGGAUGUAUGCCUUGGCGGUCUUGGUUCCCUUGGUGCCCUCAAAUGUUUCUUAUAAUUUUGCCCAUGCAUCAUGAGCAAUCACAAUGUUCUUGAUUUGCUCAAAGGUCUUGUCAUCAAGAGCUUCAUGAAGAGCACUAAUUGCAAUGUCAUUGCAUUGAAGCUUCUUCUCUUCAACCGGUGUUGGUCCAUUCUCAUUUGCAACCUCAAACUUUGUUUCGGUCACCUUCCAAACUUCUCUAUUGAUUGACUUGAGAUGGGCGGUCAUCUUGACCUUCCAAUAAGCAUAAUUGGUGCCAUCAAAGUAAGGUGCCUUCUUAGUGUUGUUGAUAUGCAAACUAAGAGCCAUUUCUUCAUCGUAGGUUGUUAAGCCUCAAAUAAACGGUGCCUCGGCUCCGAUACCACUUGUAAGGUCCAAAUGGCUAGAGGGGGGUGAAUAGCCUAUUUAAAAUUUCUACAAACUUCACUAAACAAGUGAGUUAGUAAAACAAAUGGCGAAGCAAUUCUAGCACUAGCUCAACUAAGCUAUGCAAGCCACCUAUACAAAACUAGUACAAGACUAAACACUAAAGCACAACAACAAGAGAAGGCUAGUUAUACUUCUAAACAAGAAGACUAAACUAAACAAGCUAAACAACUAGCAAGGUAUACAAGUAAGUAAGGAGUGGAGAGUGAUUGUUAUACCAACGUUGUAGAGUAGAGAUAUAUCCAAUCAAUCACUCACAAUCACAAGAGAAUCCUCGGCAAGAGAUGACACAAGAUUUUUUACCGAGGUUCACUUGCUUCCCGGCAUGCUAGUCCUCGUUGUGGCGAUACACCCACUUGAUGGAUCACAAGCUAAUUGGCAAUCCAAAGCCAAACCCUCAGCGGGUGCCGCACAUCCACUCAAAAAAUGGGGAUCCUCCAAGCCACGAGCAAUCCACUAGAGUAGCCAAUUGCGAUCUCCCGCGGGGAAGGCUCAAGAACCCCUCACAAAACACUUGGUGAGGCUCGAAACAAUCUCCAAUCACGAGCUCAACACCACCGCUGCUCCAAGCCAUCUAGGGCGUCGGGAAACACCCAAGAGUAACAAGAAAUUCGCAGCAAACUCAAGAAUCAAGUGCCACUAAAUGCAACUCUCAAAGCAAUGCACUUGAAUCUCACUCAAUCUCACUAGGAUUAGCAAACAAGCAAGGAGAUGAGUGGAGGGAGUGUUCUCUAGCUCAAUGUAUGUCUCAAGUAAUCAAAUGUGCAAGAGAGAGCCUCCCAAAGCCGGCCACCAACUAUUUAUAAGCCCCUCAAAGAAACUAGCCGUUGGCCACUUUCACUAGGCGGAAAACGGGGGCACCGGACGCUACUAAGUGAGCACCGGACGCUCGACCUCCUGCGUCCGGUGCACUAGAGUUGGCCACAUGUCGAUCUUGAAUCUCGCGCGUCAGUUUCUAACGGUCACCUGCGGAUCACCGGACGUUCUGCAGGUCCACACCGGACGCGUCCGGUGCACACCGGACUCAUGCACAGAGAGUUUGUCAAACUCGCGACCUCACCGGACGCUGGGCACCGGACGGUCCGGUGCUCACCGGACUCGUGCGCAGAGAGGGUUGCAAAAACUCCUCACACCGGACGCUAACCACCGGACGCUCAACCUAGCAGGGUCAAGCACACCGGACGCUGAGGCCAGCGUCCGGUGCCUCCGCACUCAGCGUCCGAUGAGUGUUUCUCAGUGAGAAAACACUCCCGCGACUUCUCUAAAUUUCCCACCGGCGCAAUAGAAAAUAUACACUUAUUUUUCUCAAAAGCGCCGAAUCCACACUAGGAACCCACACCCCUCUCAACCCUAGGAACUCCACCUCCUUCGAAAAUGUGCCAACACCAACAAGUGUCCACCACCAAAGUGCAAGUGUGUUAGCUUUUCACAAACAUUUUCACCAAAGGAGUUAAGUUAGCACUUUACUAGAUCCUAAUGCAUAUGCUCAAGAUAUGGACCUAGUAGCACUUGAUUCGAGAGAUGACCGUGAUUUCCCCUCUUGAUAGUCGGCUAUCUAUCCUAAACCCGGUCAAUUACUUCUCUACUCAUCUUAGACCGGCAAAAGUAAAACCCUAUGUUUAUACCUUUGCCUUGAACACUUUGCUCCUCGUCUAUCACCAUGAUCUUCACUUUAUGCUUCAUCCCUUUGUGAUCAUGUCGCCACCUUUCCAUGCCACCAUGCACCUUCAUCACAUGUGUUGCUAUGCCUAAUUCAAAUCACUUAAACACAAGGCAUUAGCAAAUUGGUGUCAUUAAUUACCAAAACCAAACUUGGGCUUUCAAUCUCCCCCUUUUUGGUAAUUGAUGACAACCAUCACAAAGAUAUGAAAUGAAAUCAUAAUGAACUUGAAUUGCUUGUCCAAAGCAUUUGAAUCAUGAGAUAAAGUUGGACAAACAUUUGAAUUUCGGUUUUGGUAGUACUAGCUCCCCCUACAUAUGUGCUUCCAAGAGUUUGGUUCAAAUUUGCACAUAUGCAUGAAUUAGAGUUUUGGGAGAUUUAUUACUACCAAAAGAUGCUAAGGUAUAUAGAAUGGACCUUUGAAGCAUGAUACCAAUCGGAGUUGCCAAAAUACCAUCCUUAGCACCAAUGUAGCUAGACAUACAUCAAAAACUCAAGAUACCUCGUGAGAUCACAUUAUAUGUCUAGAUACCACAUAAAAAUAAAACUCUAUGCUAGAAUUCAAAUCAUCAUUCAAGUUCUAUUUCUAGCAAGUACCAAUCAAACUAGAGUUGUGAAUUUAAACUUGCAAUGCAGCAACUCAUUAUGUUAGUGCACAUACAAAUGCAACAAAUGGUUCAUGAGCUUGCUCCCCCUAUUUGUGUGCUCAAGUUUAAAGGUGUUUUCUCUCCCUAUCUUUGUUUCUCUUCCCCUUUUUGACUUUAUCUUUGUUUCUCUCCCCCUUUGUCAUCAAUGACCACAAAGGUUCAAAUUUUAGUGAGAAUUAAGUCAAUCAAUGUGAGGGUCAAAUUAUGGUUCAAUCUAGAUCACUUGCCUAAAACAUGUAAUUUGGUUUGAUCCAAGGACAAGCUUUUUCACACCUCAUGAAGUAUAAGGGUUAUCUUGACCAUGUUGAAUUACACAUCAUAAGCUCAUAUUCUCGAUUCAACACUAGGCUUGUAAGCUCACAAACAUGUCAUAUGCUACCACUAGAUCAAUCAAUCAUAGAAGCAAUAGUGGUACCAUACAUACAUCAAAUCCUUUUGAUUUUCAUGAAUGAGCCUAUUUGUCAUGCAAACAGGUCUAUAUGUUCUAAUCAUGUCCUUAGCAAAGUAUGAAUGCUAUGUCAAUCAACUUUACCUUGAUUUGUUGGAGGAGAGGCAUGUCAUAUAUAAAUGUGGGGGUGCACUCAUCUCAAGUUGGAGAAGUCAAGUAUGUUCAAUUCAUUCCUCAACUUGCAAAAUCUCUUCUCAUCAAGUGGCUUUGUGAAGAUGUCGGCUAGUUGAUCUUCGGUGCCAAUGCUUUCAAUGCUAAUAUCACCCUUUUGUUGAUGGUCCCUUAUGAAAUGGUGCCUUAUGUCAAUGUGCUUGGUUCUUGAAUGUUGAACCGGAUUUUGUGUCAUCUUGAUUGCACUUUCAUUGUCACAUAGCAAAGGCACAUUCUUGAAUUUGAUUCCAAAGUCAUUCAAGGUAGCUUUCAUCCUAAGCAAUUGUGCACAACAACUACCGGCACUAAUGUAUUCGGCCUCGGCGGUUGAUAGUGCAACACUAUUUUGUUUCUUUGAUGACCAUGAAACUAGAGACCUUCCUAGCAAUUGACAAGUGCAACUUGUGCUCAUUCUAUCAAUCUUGCAUCCACCAUAGUCGGAGUCCGAAUAUCCAAUCAAUUCAAAGUUAGACCCCUUGGGAUACCAUAAUCCAACAUCAUGAGUGCCCUUAAGAUACCUCAAUAUCCUUUUGGUUGCCUUCAAGUGACUCUCCCUUGGUGAAGCUUGAUAUCUUGCACACUUGCACACACUAAACAUCACAUCUGGCCUUGAUGCGGUGACAUAGAGCAAACUUCCAAUCAUGGACCGAUAUAGCUUUUAAUCUACCAUGUUGCCACUUGCAUCACUACCUAAUUGAUCAUUGUGCCCAUAGGUGUGCUCAUUUGUUUAGCUUCUUGCAACCCAAACUUCUUGAUCAUGUCCUUGAUAUGCUUUCCUUGACUUACAAAAGUGCCAUCCUUCAUUUGCUUGAUUUGAAGUCCAAGGAAGUAACUAAGCUCUCCAAUCAUGGACAUCUCAAACUCAUUUGCCAUCAUUUUCCCAAACUCUUCACAAAAGUCUUGAUUGGUUGAUCCAAGGAUGAUAUCAUCAACAUAGAUUUGCAACACAAACAAGUCAUUGCCUAGCUUCUUGGUGAAGAGGGUAGUGUCAACCUUUCCCAUCUUGAACCCUUUAGAGAGAAGAAAAUCUCUCAAUCUCUCAUACCAUGCUCUAGGUGCUUGCUUCAAACCGUACAAUGCCUUCUUGAGCUUGUACACAUGGUUGGGUUUCUUGUCAUCUUCAAAACCGGGAGGUUGUUCAACAUAAACCAACUCAUUGAUGUAUCCAUUGAGAAAUGCACUCUUCACAUCUAUUUGAUAGAGCUUGAUGUUGUGGGCACAAGCAUAGGCUAAUAAUAUUCUAAUUGCCUCCAAUCUUGCAACCGGUGCAUAUGUUUCUCCAAAGUCAAGACCUUCAACUUGAGUGUAGCCUUGUGCUACUAAUCUUGCUUUGUUUCUCACAACUACACCAUCUUGAUCUUGCUUGUUUCUAAAGACCCACUUGGUACCAAUCACAUUGUAGUUCUUAGGCCUCUCAACAAGUUCCCACACUUGAUUUCUUGUGAAGUUGUUCAAUUCUUCAUGCAUGGCAUUUACCCAAUCGGAAUCUCUCAAUGCAUCUUCUAUUCUCUUUGGUUCUUCAAAUGAGACAAAUGAAUAGUGCUCACAAAAGGAUGCUAGCCUUGAUCUUGUUUGCACACCACUUUGAAUACCACCAAUGACUUGAUCCAAUGGAUGAUCUCUUGCUAUGCUUGUAGAUUGGAGUAUUGGGAGUUGAUUGCUUCCACUAGCUUGAUUUUGAUCUUGAUCAUCAUCAUGAGAGCCACUAGUAUUUGCUUGAUUUGUAUCAAUUUGCACUUCUUGAUUGAUCAUGUGAAUAUCACUAUCAUCAUCAACUUGCAUUGGCCUUAUAUCACCAACAUCCAUGUUUUUCAUUGCAUUUGCCAAUUGAUCUCCCCUCACAUCAUUAAGAUUUUGAACUUCACUUUGAGAUCCCUCGGUUUCAUGUGGCCACCUUUCCAUGCCACCAUGCACCUUCAUCACAUGUGUUGCUAUGCCUAAUUCAAAUCACUUAAACACAAGGCAUUAGCAACUUGGUGUCAUUAAUUACCAAAACCAAACUUGGGCUUUCAACUGGGCUGAAACGAACACAUAUUUUUUUUUCACAGCUGGAUUGGAAACAGGCUGCAGCAAUCCAUCCGGAACAGGCCCGGGAACGGGCCAAUCCGGUGGUGCCGAACGAGGCCUAAGUUAGCUUUUCAUAGAUAUUUUUCACAACUUUCUCAAGCAUCUCACCACGUCACUAAGCGCUAGGUAUAUGCAAAUGACACUCACCCUUAGUGGCACUAGAUAACCAUUGCAAUUAAAGAUUUCCCCUCUUUAUAGUACGGUUAUCUAUCCUAAAUCCGGUCAAGCACUUCUCUACUCAACUUAGACCGGUGAAAUAAAAUGCCCUAUAGGUUAUACCUUUUCCUUGCGCAUUCCAUGCCAUUUCCUUUGAUGUUGAUGCAACACAUGCACCAAUCAAUCACAAAUGAUAUGAUUCACUUCAUAUCAUCACGUGACCAUAUUGGUUCAUCGAUCUUGACCUCACUUGCUCUUCAUCGUUGCGUUGGUCCAUCAGUGCUAAGCCUUGCUCAAGCUUCACCGUCACAUGUGGUCCCUCGCUUCAAACCCUUUGACUUGCCCUUUACUCUUGCAACCGGUUCAUCAAGCCAAGCCUCAUCUUGAUCUUCUCCACCUUGGUGACAUGACUCCAUGUCAUGUCUCAUAUGCAAUCAGCUCCUCCAUCAUCACAUAUUCACCUAUGGACUAAUCUCCAAUGUAUCUCACAUAAACAUCAUUAGUCCACCUAAGUUGUCAGUCAAUUACCAAAACCAAACAAGGACCUUUCAAUCUCCCCCUUUUUGGUAAUUGAUGACAACUCUACAAAGAUAUGUAAAUUAAGCUUUUUCAAGCUAGCACUUCACACAUGUGUAAAUUGCUAACUUAGUUUGGAUUUUAUGAUACUUAUCCAACAUUUAAGCUCCAUAAAACCCAUCUAAGUGCUAAGGUGUAUAAAAUAAACCUUUGUAGCUUGAUACCACUUUUGAUAUCAUUUGAAGUAGCCAUUGUACACCAUCCUUGGCACCAUGAGUAGCUAGACAACAAAAUCACUAGAAACCCUGUGAGAUCAACAUUAUAAGCAAGAGUCUAGUUUUUACUUGAUAAAUACAAGUCUAGCUACCAAGCUAUGUAUGCUAGUUAUCAUAUCAUCAUUCAAGUUCUAUAACUAGCAUACACCACACAAGCAUGCAUAUUGAAUUUAAAACUUUUGCAAUGUAAGCAAGCACAUGAAUAUGCACAAAAUAAAUGCAAACAAUCAAUGUUCAUGAGCUUGCUCCCCCUACUUGUGUGCUUCUCUUGUCGAAGAGUUUUAAUCCAUCUUUUUUUCUUUAAUGUUGCUCCCUCUUUAUCCAUGUCCAUGUCCCAACCAAUUUCUCAUCUUUUGUUGUCCAACUUCUCUCAUAAUCAUAUCUUUGUUCCAACUUCUCCCCCUUUGUCAUCAAUUUCCAUAAAAGGUGUGAUACCAAUUAAAUCAGUUGAAACCAAUUGAAAGAGUAUGCAUCUCAUUGUUACAAAGGAUUGCAUUAGGGUAGAUGGUUGAAGCUUGAAUCUUGCAUUUUUUAUGGACAUCACCAUAUGUGUUGGAAUGAAAUUACUUGAAUUGAGCUUGAGAUACCACAUAGGAUCUUUGACCUUCAUACCAUUUGGUGGGGCACCUCCCCCUAUGUCAUAGCUUGUGUCAUUCACUUGACAAUCUUGUUGGUGAGGAAACUUUCUUUGCUUGAUGAUUACUUAUAGUUGAGGAUCAGUUAUGGAACCACCUUCUUGUAUGACAGAUACCACAUGUGGAGAUGUGAUAUCAUUGAAAGAUCUUGUCCGAUACCAUAUGGAAAUCUUCUAUCAAUUGAAGGUCUUCUAGUAUGGAACCACUUGUUUGCUUUCUUGAACAUUUGCUAUCAUGAGUACCAAUUGUAGGAUACCAAUUGAAGAAGCAUUUAGGUCUAGAUAUCCAUUUGCAUAGUUGUCUUGCUCUUGUACUCUAAUCAUCAUGAGCAUCUAAUUGUUGACUUGAACUAUAUUGAUUUGCCUAAGCUUCCAAGUCCGGUUUGAACCAAUGACAAGCUUUUUUACACCUCACAUUAAGGGUUAUCUUGCCAAUGUUGUACUUGUUACUUGUUGACAAUCCAAAAUAGAUCAAGUACUUGGGUUCACUAGCUCAUGAAAAAACUCAUAUACAUACCACUAGAUCGUUUAAUUAUUCAAGCAAUAGUGGUAGGCUAUGAAUUUAAAACUUUUCAUUUGUUAUGCAUGAUCCUAUUAAGCAUGUACUAUAUGCACUAACCGCAUACUAGGAUGAAAUGAUCAUGCACAAUACAGUGAUACCUUUGCUAUCUUGGAGUAGAGGAUAGUCAAUGAGAUUCGAAUUUAGCUCCAAAUAGCAAUGUGAAGUCCAAUUUAUAAGCUUGGUGAAGACCAAUCAUAGAUACCAAUUGAUAGAUCAAAUCUUCAUCCAUAUGAAUUGAGAACCACUUAUGAUCAAGUGCACUAUCUUUUGUUGUGGUUGGCUUCCUUCACCUUUUCUUGAUCUUUGCUUGCACGAGAGAACUACAAUGAAUAUCACUUGAAAUAGCAUGACUAGCUCUCUUUCGGGUGUUGUUUGCUCUCUUGAUAAUUCCUUUUGAUUUCUUCAACUAAGCAUCCCAAAUGUCCUUUAGAUCACCACUUCCAUGUUAGCCUUCCAAGCACCACACUUGGUUUGCCCACCCCUCGGGCGGCACGCCCCUCACAUAGGGAGAAGUGAUCUCUCUCUAAAGAACCAUUCUUGACACUCACUUGAAUUUCUUUGAUUUGAUUGAUUCAAGUGAUGGACUUAAUGUGAUGAGUAACCAUGAAUCCUUCUUUAAGUCCUUUUCUUUCUACCAAAUGAUCUUCAAUAGUCACUAGAACGUAAACUUCAUAUUCAUCUUGAGUUUGAUCUUGAUCUUCAAUUUGUGUACUAAAUGUGUUCACCAAUUACACUCCACAAUAAAAUAGCCUUGUACUCUUUGCUUGUCAUGCUUCUUGAUCAAUUCAAAACCAAACUUAGGUGCCUCAAACACUAAUAAUUAUGUUUCCAACUUGAGGACCUUUCAAUUGAAGUGACUCUAGAUCAAUCUAAUAUUUGAUACUUUUCUGGCAGAUUCUGUACCUUUCAAAGAAUAACUCAUAUCUCACAAUGUACAAAUCCAUAUGCCACGAAAUUUGGUGGAGAUGUGAUUGACUAAGUCAUCUAGCAACUAUAAAAAAUUGAGCUUCAUUGGACUUGUAGAUUGCUACCAGAUUUUAUUUCAUCCACCUUUGCUAUAUGCUGAAAACUGCUGCACUAUAGCUGAUAAGAUCCACUUCGAAACCAAAGUUUCCCUUAUCCAAUUAUCAUGACAUUUCUACAGAAUCUUCUAUGAUAAGUGUACAGCAUGAAUUCCAAAUUUCAAGCCAUUCCAAUAAGAUUUGAUCACCCAAACUCAGACAUGAUCUCAGCUAGCUCAGAUUUUCAAUAUUGGACAGAUUUCAAGCACUUGAGCUAUACUUCUUCAAAUUGAAUCAAACUUAAAAUAGACUUGUUGGAAUACUUUCACAAGACAUAAAUCCUAUUUAAUUCACUUAUGGAAAGUCAUCUCAUGAACUUAUCCAACACAAAUCAAUCCAGUCUUGUUUACUAUGCAUUUAAUCCAUUCAAACAUCUUAUAGCAAGCAACAUAUGCAUAUUUGUCCAAUUCAAUCAACUCAUAUGCACCCAAAUGAAUAAGAUCAACAAAGAUAUACCUUGGUUAGCUCAUGAUCAUUUAAUUUGCAAGCUUUAACUCAUAUAUUUGCAAGCCAUCAAAUAAUCCAAUAAAUCACCACAACUUGAAUGUGACACUUGUUUGUUGUAGCAUAUUUGGAUUUCACUAUCUUGUCAUGGCAUUGGGUUUGGAUGUGCACUAGGCUUCAAUACUUGGCUCAAUCAUAUGAUGAACAAUUAUAGGAUCAAUUGAAUCAAGCCUCCAAUGCCGAUGGUACUGUUGAUGCAAAAUGGAUCUCCAAACACAAAGGGCUAAUACCCGAUUUUGAUGUUGAGGCGUGCCAGCCGAUUUGACCUAGCAAUCGCCAAAGGUGAUAACUUGAAUGCUUUGGUCCCGACAACAGUGACUUGGCUACAUCCGCCCCUUAUCCAGCUAAAGAGCUUCACAUCAUAUUGCUGUGGGUACUUUGGGCAUAUUAGCGGGCCUAUUCCAUCUAAGUGUCCGUCCGCCUCAACGUCUAUACAAAGGGUUACGUAUGGGAAAUAUUGAAACUGUACUUUCUAGUAGUAUCACUGAUGUUUUUUUUGCUGCUUUCGUCACCCGGAUGUCAUGGCCAAGAGGUACUCACGCGGAACUCGAGAAUUCAUCGAGUAUUACUCGUUGAAUCCUUGAGAACUCGUAAACAAAAGAAAAUGUGCGAAUUGACAAAGUCAUCGAAAUAGUAGAAAUAGAAGAAGAUGUAAAGCUUGUGUAUGAUAUUGAUUGAUAUCCUUUCUUACAUUGCUGCUAGGCCUAUAUUUAUAUCCUGACCUAAAGAGUUACAACCAUAUACGACUAGGAUCUAAUUCUAGACAAAACAGGACUCUUACAUAAGGUAUGCUUUAACAAAUAUAGAAAAUAACCCCUAUCUAUUCAUGUGUCUGCUUCAAUUACGAUGAAACCUUUCAUCGGCUCCUGCUUCAUCGGCAUACACCUUGUAGUUUCCUUAGCAACUUCCACGCUCUCCUUCAUCGGCAUCGGCGAUCAACUGCUCUCCAUUGGCAUCGGCGAUCAAUCAGCAAUGACUAGUAGCCACUAUCUCUAUCCUCAGGCUAGCAACAUCCUCCACCCGUCAUUCUGCCAUUGGCAUCAUUGGCUAUCGGCACUUUUCUUACCGGUUUGAGAUAGCAUUUUCCUGACUACCGAUCAGUUCUUCCUAACUGUUGAUAUUUGGUAACGCAAUCAGAAAUAAAUCCGCAAGCGCACGGAUAUCGUUGAGCACUUCACCCGGGAUGUUAUCCAGAGUAUCGUAUUUAUAUUUUUACCACUAGGAGAAAGCGUGCAUCUGACUAACCCGGUCUAUUACUACUAACCUUUAGACUACAAACUAUGUGAUUCGAUGUGAGUGAUGUAUAGAGAAGACUACAACCGCACUCUUGUUCUAACCUUGGUAAGGAUGAUCUACUGUUCUGUUGGGAAGGCUCACGGAAUCUAGACACCACAGAGGAUGUUCGACCCGCACCUAUAAACCUUAUCGAUCCUGCUAACGGGAUAUGGGCUACAAAGGUAACUCGGAAAUGUCACGUUCCUCGCUACUACCACGGUCCAGCUAGUCAGGGGAUAUCUAUGAGUAUCCUAGCCCAAACACCACGUUUACGCUAGAGAUGAUUACUCUAAACUCUACACGAAGAGAUCAAAGUAAACUCAUAAACCAAAGAACAAUAAAACAAAGAACUUACUAGAAUUUAGAAGUCGAAAUACUCAAGAAUCCUAGGAGCAAGCCUCGGGUUAGGAGACUUGAUCCCGCAGGUACAACCUCGGAGUAGACACCGAUAGGUCGGGCUUCCUCCGAUCUACACCUCCACUCUAUCUCUCUCAAUCUAGUAGAUCUAGUCUACUCUCACAUUGGAUGCUACGCCCUAUGAGGUGGGAACCCUAAGGAACCUCUCUCUCUGAAUCCUCUCUGGAAAAUAUGCUAAUGAAUAAUUGGAUUCUCUCCUCCAGGGGCCAAGGGGCCUUGCUUAUAUAGUCUUCUCAAACGAAUCUGGGCCGUCGGAUCAAACCGACAUUGAUUGAAUGGUUCUACUUGAUCCUUUAGGUCAGUGGAGCAUGAUCCGCGAGGUUGAACGUGAUUGGCCACUAGAGGUGGGCGGGCGCCCAAGGGGGGAGGGCGGGCGCCCUGCCCCCUGGCCCGAUCGGCCUCCCGUUCGUUCCCGUGGCUUCUAGAUUCUUCUAGAUGAUAGAAAAUUACGCGGCAGGUUAAUAUCUCUAUAUAAACCUGACAUGUGGGCCUUUCUUCCAUAUUUCCUGAUAACCCCCCUGCAGAAAUAGAUAAACAACAAAACUCGUGGAAUUCUGUCAGAUCAAACCCUAAUUCUAGGUGUUGUUUGUAUAUGAGUCCUUUCCCUUGUUUAUUUGAUAAUUAAAAUUGAUACUUAAGAACCGUCAACAAACACCCCCAUACUUAGGCUUUUACUCGUCCUCGAGAAAAGGAUGGUUAAGAAAAAUAUCUAGGGUUAAAACAAUGUAAAACAUUCUCUUCAUACCUGUAGGGUGUUGUAAAAAUCCACUGUGUACCGUAGUCAGGGAAAUAUAUGGCCAAGAGUAGAGGUCCUUUCUUCUUAAUCAUGUCACAUGGAGUUUUUGUAUAUUUUUGAAAAGAAAUUUAGCAUACCUUUAUCCUCAUAGGUUGCUCUCAGAUCACUCAUUAUCUUUUAUAUAUCUCACUGAGGCAGUUUCAAUUUGUAGAAAUUCUCAAACAUACUUACCUUGCAUUUAUUGCCUGGUCAAAACAGGAUCCGAGGAGAGGAAUGUCAUACUCUUAGAUCAAAGACUUUGGAAAUUAAAAACUUGUCAACUCUUACUGGCAUAUUGCUUAUUAGAGGGACCAUGGGCUAUCAUUUUCUUCUCUCUCUUUUUUUCAGGUGGAUACUGAGGUACCCCUAAUUCUACUACCGGACACUUGUCCAUUUUUUUCUGCGAGGUUGUCGAGCACUUGCUCCUUUUUAUUUGCUUCAAAUAUUCAUAUUUUUGCAUAGCCCAUGCCUCUAACGCAAUAAUACUUUGGAAGAGUCAAUCUUUCAGAAUAAAUGUCUUGAUCUUAGGAGCAUGACAAGUCUCUCAACAAGGGUCUAACUCGUUUUGAACAAACUCAAUACAGAGCAGAUAGCUUUUAUAAUUAUCAUAAUUAAUAUUUUCAGGUUUAUCAAGCAUAUAAAACACUGAGGAUGGUAGCUAGAAUUUUUGAAGAUUUUGAAAUAAAUUCUCCAAGCAACAAAGAUAUCAAGAAUAAGAUACUCAUACUCUACCAUCUCACAUUCCACAAUGACUUAAGUAACACAGGGUUUUAAAUGAUUUUUUAAUAAUUUCAAGUUUUCAGGAAAUAUCACAGAGUGAGAUUAAUCAAGAUUAGAAACAUUUUAAUCUUGUUAAAUUAUCAUGUAGGAGAUAAUAUUCUGCACAAACCAAAAUAUUUGUGUAUGUAUAACAUGUGCAGAGUAUGUACCUGAAUCGUGGAGUGGUGUAGUCGAAGUACGUUUGGCGUGUCGAGGGAUCUCCCCCAUACUUGUUUUCUGCUUUCUUGCAUAAAAAUAAAGUGGAGACACACAAGACAUAAUAAUAAUAACCUUUUUUAAUCUUGAGGCAUUUAUUACAAAUGACAAGUAAUGAACUGAAGCUAAUAAUAAAUCUAAACCGAAUUUAAAGAUAAAUCUAAGAUAUACUGCCUCAAGAUAUAAUCUAGAUAACUUAGCCGCGCUCUAACUCCCUGAUCUUCUUAUUGGCACUAACAAGAUCAUGCCUAAGACCUAGUAUAACGGUGUUCUGGUUAGAGAGCUGCCUAUUAAUAGAGUUAACCGAGGACUGGAGCUCUAUGAUGACCUUGUCUAGCCUACGAAUAUCCUCAUCAAUAUCUGCUAUAGUCUUGCGGCGCUUAGGAGGUGUCGCAAGAGCAUUGAGAGCGUGCUUCGGGGCUGCCUUUGGAGGGAUGAAACGGACUUUGGUUGCUCUAACCCCCUCGAAGUAAGGCCUCUCCUCCUCCGUAGUGUAGCGGAUGCUGCUGAUCUCGCCGCUCCGGUUGGUCUUGACUCCAACGACCCGCUCAUUGGCCUAGGUGGCAGGAUUCUUGUGCCGGUUGGUACCUUGACGAUGGCCUCCUUCUUGGCUGAUGGUCCCUUGAGAAGUAGGGGCUGCGGCGGUGCGGUGAGAACUGGUUGAGCAUGGUAGGAUUGGGUAGAGCUGCGCUGGCAUGAUGGCAUGGCUGCUAGCUGUCCCUCUAUGUUGGCCGGGACAAGAGGGUAGGCGUCGGGUCUUCCUUAGGCUUCUUGUUGAGGUCGAAGGGGACGACUUCUCAAUCGUCGUGGAACUCUUCGGCCAUUAGAGCAGCAAGGAACUAAGCAAGCUCUAGUUGAAGAAGGAGAGAAGGCCUGUAUGAAUUGGUGUUUGAAAACUGACGUCAGGGGUCUAUUUAUAUAGGGGUCAAAAAGUGCCUCUAGGGUUUGCUCGGGCUACUCCCGGCACCAUGCGUGCGAAACAUUCCAUCCGCAUGAUUAUUUAGUUUACCAUAAAUGGGUUUAUCGCGACGGAGGAAAUCGGGACUGAGAGGAGGCAAGGGCUGGGCGCCCGCCCUCAUCAUCAGGGCGCCCGCCCUGUGUCUGGCCCCUCUGUGGGCCCGCUUCCUCGAGCGUGCUUCUAGAUGCAGACUUUAUUUGAAAAAUAUAUACGUGGCCCAAAAACGUCAGAUUAAAAAAGGUCAGGCUCUAAUUUUCCAUAGGAAGGUAAAAAUGGAUCACGUCUAUCUCUUCUAAUUCUUUAUUGGGCUCUAAAAAUAAUUUAAGAUGUUGACCAUUUACCUUAGAUAACGUACCUUCAUCAUUUCGAAGUGUGAUAGCUCUAUGGGAUGAUGAAUUAAUUACCUUGAAUGGUCCUUCCCAUUUACUCUGGAGUUUUCCAUGCCCAAAAAGCUUCACCCUGGAAUUAAAAAGUAAUACCUUAUCUCCGGGUGGGAACUCCUUCUUCUUGAUCCUCUUGUCAUGCCACCUUUUAACUCUUUCUUUGUAGAUCUUCGAAUUGUGAUAUGCUUUCUCUCGCCAUUCUUCCAAUUCUGAUAGUUGCAUUCUUCUAUGAUCUCCAGCGACAUCUAGGUCCAUAUUCCAUCUCCUUAUGGCCCAGUGUGCUUUGAACUCUAAUUCAACAGGUAGGUGGCAAGUCUUCUCGUACACAAAUUGGUAUGGGGACAUUCCAAUUGGGGUCUUGUAUGCUGUCCGGUAUGCCCAGAGUGCAUCAGGUAACUUGUCCUUCCAUGCCAUUCCCAUCUCAUUGACUGUUUUCUGAAGAAUAUUCUUGACUUGUUUGUUGGAAGUCUCUGCUUGGCCACUUGUCUGAGGAUGGUAGGGGGUAACGACGUUGUGACGGAUUCCAUGUUUUGAUAGAUAGUGCUUGAAGCGUUUGUCGAUGAAAUGUGCUCCUCCAUCACUUAUCACUACAAUGGGGACUCCAAAUCUUGGAAAUAUGAUUUCUUCAAACAUCCUCUUUGAACUGAUGUUGUCGGCGUGCUUGCAAGGUAGUGCCUGUGGAUAUUUGGUAACACAAUAAGGAAAUGAUCCGCAAGCGCACGGAUAUCGGUGAGCAUUUCACCCGGGAGGUUUUCCAGAGUAUCGUAUUUAUAUUUUUACCACUGGGAGAAAGGGUGCAUCUGACUAACCAAAUCUAUUGCUACUAUCCCUUUAGGCUACAAAGAAUGUUUCUCGAUGUGAGUGAUGUAUAAAGAAGACUGCAACCGUAGUCUCGUUCUAACCUUGGUAAGGAUGAUCUACUGUUCUAUUGGGGAGGCUCACGGAAUCUAGACAACACAAAGGAUGUUCGACCCGCACCUAUAAACCUACCCGUCCUGCUAACAAGAUAUGGGAUACAAAGGUAACUCGGAAAUGUCACGUUCCUUGCUACUACCACGGUCCAGCUAGUCAGGGGAUAUCUAUGAGUACCCUAGCCUAAACACCACGUUUACGCUAGCAAGUGAUUACUCUAAUACUCAACCGGAAGAGGAUUAAAGUAAACUCAUAAACCAAAGAACAAUAAAACAAGAACUUACUAGAAUUAGAAGUCGAAUUACUGAAGAAUCUUAGAAGCAAGCCUCGGGUUAGGAGACUUGAUCCCGCAGGUACAACUCGAAGUAGACACCGACAGGGCGGCCUUCCUCCGAUCUACACCUCCACUCUAUCUCUCUCAAUCUAGUAGAAACUAGAAGAUCUAUUUCUACUUACAUUGGUUGCUAAGCCUAAAAAGAAAUAUUAUUUAGAGAAGAGGUUUUCCUUCGAGGGCACCCCUCAAUCUCUAUGAUAAUUUCUUUUUUCUCCUCCAGGGGCCAGGGGGGUCUCCUUAUAUAGUCCUUGUCCUCUAUGCAUUUUUGGGUCGGUAGGCGAGGUGGUACUAUAUUUUCCUUGAUCCAAUAGGUCGGUGGAACAUCCCGAGCGAAGAGAGUCCUGAUUGGCAUCCAACAGGGGGCGGGCGCCCUGGGCCUGGCCCCUUUCGGCCUCUGCUUUCUUCCCGUGGCUUCUGGAGUCUUCUAGAUGGUAGAAAAUUGCGCGGUGCAUUGAUAUCUCUAUGUAAUCCCGACAUGUGGGCCUUUCUUCCUUAUUUCCUGAUAACCCCCUGCAGAAAUAGACAAACACCAAAACUCGUGGAAUUCUGUCAGAUAAAACCCUAAGUCUAGAUGUUGAUUUCAUUUGGAUCCUUUUCUUUGUUGAUUUGAUAAUUAAAUUUGAUACUUAAGGACCGUCAACAAACUCCCCCAAGCUUACCUCUUGCUCGUCCCUGAGCAAGGAUGAACUCAAGAGUUUCUGCAGUGGUUUCAUGCCUUAAAAGUACACACGCAUUCAAGCAAGAUCUCAUCUCUGAGUUAGAAUAAAUUGUUAAGACUUAAAACUUACUCAUUUUACCUUUCACCAUGGGCCUUGUAACCGUUACUUGUGUCUUGAGCAGUUAAAAGAUAGAACGGUCAAGUCAAGCGCCAUGUCUCUUAUUCUUGAUCAGCUAUAGCUCUGGAGUUUUUGCAGAUUUUCAAAUAAAACUCAGAGAUUCCUUAUAUGACUCUCUCAGAUCUCUCUUUUGUGGUAUUUCUGGAUCCUAACCAAGGCAGUAAUGGUAUAUGCCUUCUCUCAAAGUAUGUGGUAUUUUUGGUAUGAGGCAUAGUGAUAUUGCCUUCUCUCUCACCCCUACUCUCAUAAGGUUUUGAUAUCUGGAGCUCAUAGGUGGGAGACAGCUAAUACAUACUUACAAGACAUUUAUUGCAUAGUCAAACCAUGAAUUCAGAGAAACAAGUCAAUAAGUCAAAUCAAGAUGUGCGUGUGUGGCGAAUGAAUGGUGUAUGGUGAUGAUGGUGAUAAUAAUGGUGAAAGUCUAAUCCUACUUUUGCUCUUUUGAGGGGAUACAUACCUUUCUUGCACUUUGAAGCUUUUUGGGGAGAAUGAGAUGCUCUAUAUUUUUUUCUUUCCUCUCAGGUGGGUAUCUUGUACCCCUAAUUCUACUGUCGGACACUUGUCCAUUUUUACCUCUCGUCUUACUUUUUCUUUUCUUCGAGGUUCCGGGCACUUGCCCCUUCUUAUUUCCUCGUAUCUUCUUUUUUUUUAGAGCACUCAUCUCCUGAAAUAAUAUAGCAAGUGGUAGUAACCAAGAUAACUCGAGCAUUUAUUUUACAGGGAAUAACAGGGAUAGGAUAAUGUUUUUGGCUAUUCUCUCCCAGAUUAGGAGUAGAAUAAUUUUGGGUGAAUCUGGAGAUGGAAAUGAGUGGAUAUAUGUGGAUGGUACUUCCGGAGUAGAAGUAGCAUGUAUGAGUGAACAUGCAAGUGAAUCUUGAUUUUAACCACAUGACAAGCUCCUAAGGGUCUACACAGCUUGACCACACUCAAUGCUCAUAAGCAGUAAAGAGUAAAUAUGUGGCUCAAAGUCUAGCAAGCAAGUAUAUAUGGCUGUGGUAGGAAUUUAAACUCUCAUCAUAUAGGAACUCAUCAUGUGUUAUUUUAAAGAUUUUUUAAAGAUAAAAUUCUCCAAAAUUCUAGCAUCUCUAGGAACAGAUAAACAACAGCUCAACCUUCCCAUAUCAUAUCCGUUAACGACUUAGACUUUAGAUCAAGUACUCUUCCCACAGGUUCAGGUUUAGAGCAAAUCUUACUUCAUAACAGUCAUACCUAAACUUGAGAGAGAUUUCAAUUUUAAGAACUAGUCAUGGCAGAGCAACUAUUCAUCAUUUCCAUGUGAGAGUUUAUCAUGAGGGUUCAUAGCAAACUUUAUUUAUUUAUUUAUUUAGCAAACUAAGCAAAAAUAUAUAUAAAAGCACAAAAUCUUUAUUUGGGUUUUCAUGAUUAUGCAUCUUUUAUUAUUUGAGUAAAGUAUAAACGCGAGUAGAAACACUUAGCUGGAUAAAUGGGGGUGCUCUCCCCCAAGCUGGAUUUUGACGUAAUUUCUUCUGAUGUAGCUAGCAGGUGGUAGAGGUGUAUUUGAAAGUCAGCAGCAUUCUGACAGCGAUUAGAAUGCCCUCCGUCUGCUAGUCUUCUUGAUUCUUAAAUUCUGUAGAGCUCAAAUAGACAACAAAGCUUUGUGGAACUGGUUAAAUGUUAGCAUAAAUAUCUAGCCUUUAUCAUGUUGAGCCUCCUCAAUAAAUGUUACUUAUUUAGCAGGAUCAUGCACUUAUUAUUUUUUAUAUUUUUAUUGUAAGAUGAAAACUUAUUUAUUUUAUUUUUAUGCCACCACAGUGAAUGUACUUAUGAGUUUUAUGCCAUGAGCAUACUCACAUGGGGCUUAUUACUAUUUUUUUAACAUUUUUAUUUUCUUUUCAAGAUAGCAUGAACCUGAUUAACUAAGCAAACUAUUGAAUGGAAAAGGAUAACUACCAAGUUUACCUCUUGGCAAGGCGUUCAGUAUUUUUAAGUCCUCCGAACAGGACUCUCCGUUUUCUCAGUCGUCCUGGGAUUCGCUGGAUGGCGUAGUCAGUGGUUCCGGCAGCGCCUCCUCUUCGUGUGUAACUAUCUUCUCUCUCCAAACCUGACUCGGUGCUACAGUCUCCUUAGGACAGUUCUGUUCAAGCUAUAUAUCUUCAGACCUUAUCACUUCUCCUUCGUAGUCUACCCAUCUGUCCUUGAUGAUUUGCCACCUCUAGUUGCGGUUGUGUUGUCUUCGUCUUGUCUUGACCUGCUUAGAAUCUUCAACUAUAUAGUUAGAAUCAUUAAAGUAGUGGCAUACCUUCUCAGAGAGGAAGUGCAUGUGGACUUCUCUGGUUCCAAUAUAGAUGAUGGCUUUGAUAGUGUUGAGGAACGGUCUUCCAAGGAUGGUGGGUGGAUCAUACUCGUCUUUUCCCAUGUUAAUGACAUGAAUAUCAUCUGGAGCUGUAUCUUAGUUGUAGGGGCAUGGUUCCAUGCAGGAGCUGAUAAGUGACUGCGGCCAUUAUGUUGUCGUCAGAUCCAGUGUCAUAGAGUGUCUUCUCAAAGAGUAUCUGUUGAUUGUGCACUCGAUGCUUGGAACACCAGGGUCGUCCUUCUUGAUUAGGAAAGGAGACUUGAGUCGACGAUCUUGACCUCCUCCGACAAGGAUCCAAUGUUUUAAGUCUUCUGGACAAGACUUCUCACCGUCUUCAUCCUUUAGGUGCAUCAUUUGAUUAGGUGUGGACCUUCACGUCUGCACUUCUUGAUACGGUGUCACAUAUGUUCUUUGUUUGCCCAGCAGUUCGAAGUGCGGUGUUGGCAAUAUCCUGCUCAGUGUGUUUGUGCUUGUAGAGCUAGGUCCUUCACCUGGUGGAGUCUGGGAGUUGUAAAACUCCAUGUUUUGCUUGAAGUGUACCUAUUCAUAGAGACAAGGCAGAGAUCAAGUGCAUGGGCCCUGUUGGUGGAAAACACCAACAGAACCAAAAGUGUAUUUGUUCUUCUCUAACCUUAAGCAUAGUGAGCAAGACAAAGUUAAUGUAUAAUAAGAUCAUGAGUGUAGUAUUUAAAACAUUUGUCAGAUUACAUGGCUCAACCUAAUGGAAAGAUAAUAUAUCUAUUUUUAUGUUUUGUUUAUAUCUUCCAAAGAUUGAAUGUGCAACAUUUUAGCUUAUAUGAUUAGGAGUGUGGGAUCACGAAGGUAGUACUAAGAACAAAGAUUAAAGGACU